CAAGUUCAUUCUCUGCAGAGAUCAUAAUUUACUGAACGGUAGCACAUUCAAAGCUUUAAUUAUUUAGAAUUGCUUCCACCCUGGAAUUGAAAAAUAAUCCAAUCUUUUGUACUUCGGAAUAGCAUGCAACUUGGUACAUUGACGGUAUUUUUCCCCAUCUUGUCGUUUUGCUUAUUUGAGCACUCCUUUGAUAAGUAGUAAUUGAUCUUUUAGGACUCUCUCAUGAUAGAUGCUGCAUGAGCAGAUAUAAAAUAAUUGUCCAAGUUGAGAUGGUAGAUGAACGCUUGCAGAUUGAAUACAUAUCUGCAGAAAAGAAAAAGUUAAAUUGUCUUGUCAUCUUGAUCAAUCUCAAUCGUACUAGCCUUUUGGCACUAAAUUACUUAUUCAUCAUAAACAACUUAUCGCAAAAGACUUGGUUUUAUCAUUUUCUUUCGGUUUUUUGUACUCUAUUUUGUUGCAUGGGAAAAACGAGUAAUGACAAGGGUAGAGGUGUCAAAAUGGGUGACUUAGGCGGGUUUGGGUUGGGUAAAAUGGGUAAUGGGUAUAAGUGAGUCAACUCAUUUAUAUCCAUUUAAUUAGAUGGGUAUAAAUGAGUAAGUCAAAAAAUGAAUUGGGUAACCCAAUUACCCAUUUAUAACCCAUUUAUUUUAACUUUUUGUAAACUCAUUUAAAUUCAUUUUUACAAACUAAGUUAUCAAUUUAUACCAUUCUUUGUACCCAUCAUUAGUUUUAAAUAUUUACUUAUAAUGUUCAAUAAACUUAAUUACCAAUUUUUUUCAAUUAUACUCUAUGUCACAAAAUUACCUAUUAUUUAAUAAUUGAAUAAUAAGAAUAUAAAAAUUUGAACUAAGUACUAUAAAAAUUAAUAUAAAAACUUAAUCCAAAAAUUUUGAAUCCCUAACAUUUUUUUUCAUAUAUAAAUUUAAAAUUUCAUUUUAGAAAGAUAAGAAAAUAGGCUAAAAUUUAUCAUAAAUUAGUAAUGUUGAAAAAUGAGCAAGUUAACAAACUAAGAGAAAAUAAAAUAAUAAGAUAAAACCAACAAAUAAUAAUAAUAAUAAUGAAACAAAAGUAGUUAACAUCAUGAUAAAAUGAAAAUUUUGAAAAAAAAAAUGGGUGGGAGAAAAAAAGAGACUUGGGGGGAAGAGAAUUUUAAAUGGGUUAAUUGGGUUUGAUGGGUUAAAUGGGUAUUAUUGGGUAACUCAUUUAUACCCAUAUAUAAAAAUUUAAGAUACCUAUAUCCAUCUAUUCAUGGACGGGUAUGAGUAAAUUUAAUUAAGUGGGUUGAUUUGUCACCUCUAGACAAGGGGAAUCUCUGAGUAAUGAAUGAAGCAGUAGAGCAGCCUUCUUUUAAACUGAUUUUAUAGACUAUAGACCAGACCAUAAACGGAUACUUUAGGAGUAACUCUUGGUAAACCGUCUAGUGUCUGAGAGAGAGUCUGCUUUUAAGAAAGUGUUUGCCUGAUGUUCCCUUGAACUUUCAUAGGGUCUGCAGAAGUUCAUAUUGUGAUGCUGACUGUUUCUCGCUCUCCCCUUCUUCAAAAUUAUUGAUUUACAUACUUUGAUUUUGUUUGAGUCAGCUACAUGCUUAAUGACCAAUAAGCAAUGCUUUUGUCUUUGACGCAUCCGUCCUCCUUUGAGACCGAAAAUAAAUUGUUUAUACUCAUAUUGUAUCUAUAGGCGGCAAAUCAACCCAUUUAACUAAAUUUAUCCAUACCCGUCAAUGAAUAGAUGGGUAUGGAUAUUUUAAAUUUUUGUAGAUUAAAUGGGUAUUAUUGAGUAACCCAUCAAACUCAAUUAACCCAUUUAGAAUUCUCUUCCUCCAAGUCUCUUCUCUUUCUCCACUCAUUUUUUUUUUCAAAUUUUUCAUUUUGUCAUGAUGUUAACUACUUUUGUUUCAUUAUUAUUAUUAUUUGUUGAUUUUAUUUUAUUAUUUUAAUUUUUUUUUAGUUUGUUAACUUGAUCAUUUUUUAGCAUUACCAAUUUAUGAUAACUUUUAUAGUACUUAGUUCAAAUUUUUUUAUUCUUAUUAUUCAAUUAUUAAAUAAUAUGUAAUUUUGCGACAUAGAGUAUAAAUGAAAAAAAAUUGGUAAUUAGGCUUAUUGAACAUUAUAAGUAAAUAUUUAAAAUUAAUAAUGGGUACAAAGAGAGGUAUAAAUUGAUAAUUUAGUUUGCAAAAAAAAAAAUUAAAUGAGUUUACAAAAAAUUAAAAAAAAUGAAUUAUAAAUGGGUAAUUGGGUUAUCCAAUUCAUUUUUUAACUUAUCCAUUUAUACCCAUUUAAUUAAAUGGAUAUAAAUGGGUUGGCUCAUUUAUAUCCAUUAUCUAUUUUAGCCAACCUAAACCCGUCCAAGUCAUCAAUUUUGACACCUCUAGUAGUAUCACAUGCCAUUAGUCUAAACCAUGGUGUUGGUGGUCACCUGUAAUUUUUACAGUUAUUUGCUUGGUGACCGUACUGGGGGUACUUUUGUGUGCAUUACUUUAAUCAUAGUUGAAGAGACACAAUCUGUGAAGAAUUAUUAGUAUCGCCAUGUUGUUGCAAACUCUUGUUACUCCAUGGCUAAAGUAUACACGUCCUUACAGUGAUAUUGAGGAAAAGCUGCAUGUUUUGUUAUUCUCUUUUUCUCAAGUGUAUUUCUCUCUAUUGAGUGACGAAAAGCUGCUUGUGUGAUUCUUCCGUAGUAUAAUUAAGCCUCGAUGUAUUAUUCUUUCGUAGGAUAAGAGUAGUGUAACAAUACAGUAAAAAGGAGAUGCGUAAAUCCUUUUGUGGAUAUUAUGUAGUGAUAUGUACCAUACGCGGGCGCUGGGUGGAUGUUGUUUUUCCUACCAUGUGGACUGGCUGUGAGACUUGAGAAUUUUCAAGUGUAACUCUUCCGCAGCAUUAUCUUUAUAAAGUCUUUAAAUAGUAUUUGACAUUGUGUACACAUGAUUUACUUAAAAUCAGUAGUUAUAAGGGUAACAAAAUGUGAAUUACCGAGAAGCACAAUGAUUGCAAACAAACUAAGCUUUUAAUUGGUAAUCUACUAUAGAAGUCCGCCAAUUUUUCUCUACAUCUUCUGUAAAAAUGUUCCAUCAGUUACUCACCAACCACACCUAUUGAAUUUCAUAAACAAUAUGUUGCUUGCAAGUCUACGGUUGCAAACUCAGCAACUUUCACACCUCGACGUCCAUCUAAAUAUUCCAAAAGAAGCCUACACAUCCAACUUCAUGAAAUUAGCUAACAAAAUUAAUCUCUCCAAAUAUGAGCAAAUACAGGCUCCACUUGGCCGUGAAUUUUUUAGGUGUUUGUUUAAAAUUUUACUGUGGUUUACUGUAGAAGUUUUUUAAAAAAAAAAAAUUUGAAGUGUGUUUUUUUUUUAAAUAUUUUUGAAGUGUGUUUUUUUUUUUAUAUUUUGAAGUGUAUAGUUUAAAAUUUUUGAAAAGCUUUUUGAGAUUAUUGUAAUUAAAGUUUUUAAAAAACUUGUAGCAAACAAACUUGGUAAAAAACUUUACUUGUGAGCAAGAAACUUGGCAAACUUGGCCACAAAUUGAGAAACUUACCUUUACAAUUAACCAAAUAUUACACCUUUUGACAAUCGACUACCUUUUGCUCGUGAGCACAGCUUCCCUUUUUGGAGAAAAAAUGGAAGUUGUUAUCUAUUACAAGCUGAAUAAUUAGCAAGAUUAUCCAUUUCAGCAAAAAUUUAUGCUCAAUUAAAUAUUUUCAAUUCUAUUGCUCAACGUCAAAUUAAAGAAGACAAACAUCAGGAAUUCUUAUAUUGAUGUCCUUUUGCUCAUGUCUUUACAUAAAUCUUGCUUGUCCUUUUUCUUUUGCUAGAGUAUGGUUCUUUCGUUAAAUUUUUGUUGAUUUUGUUCCAAGGGGAUUGGCUUGAGUUAUCAUAUGUCCUGAAAGUUAAUUUGAUUUGGUUGGAUUGAAAAUAAUUUAAAAAAAAAAUGGAACUACCAUGCUAUUGCACUUGUGGACCUUACUACUAUUAUUGUGCUUAGAUUAUGUACAAUAUGAGUCUCUAAUGCUUAAUCUCAAUUAACGUUUUGUUAUUUAAUUAAUCUCAGUUAGUUUUUUUGGAUGUUCUUCCCUCUAUUUUUUUAGUCUGUAAGAUUUUAUGUUUAUUGUCUGUGAUGCUAAGAGUUGUUGGUACAAAAAUUAAAUGGCAUAUAUUGUGUUAAGAGGAUUCUGAGUGUGAGAUAAUGGCUUGUUUAUUUUAUCAUAGACAAGAAAGCAUAUACAAUUCUCCAAUCCUUAUCAUUUUGAGUCCUAUAUCUCUUACUAUUCUGCAGCCAUUCCUAUAUUUUACAAUUAUAUCGAUUUCUAGCCCGACAUAUUUUAGUGUUGUUCAUAAAUUCCUAUUGAAUUUGUUCAUGAGCAACACAUUUUUGGUGUCCAUAAAAAAUUAAGUCAGCAUUAUACGGUGAUAUAUUAUUUUCAAACUAAUGACAUUGUCAUUGCUACCCAAUUAGUCAGCAAAACAAAAAAUGACCCUCUGUCAUUUAGAAACUAGGUUGAAACUGUGGCUUCUCUUCAUUGCUUAAUAAAAUUACAAAAAAUAAUCGCAAAGAGUUUGGUGCACCUCUAUGUAAAUUUUUAUAUUUAAUAUCCCAAUUUGAAUAAUUAGACAUUUCUGGGCAAGUUUGAAAAUUACACCGUGCAUCGUGCAAUAUUCUCCUCCUAGUAUAUAUAUAAAGGGCUAGAGGUAUCUUGGUUGUACAAGGCAUGGUCUCGACCCACUAGAAGUUUAGUUAAACACAUAGCAACAACUAUUUUUGAUAAAUACAGGAGAAAAAUUGAGUAUCAAAAUAACUAGAUUUGCCAUGAAGAGAAAUUUUGUUCGAUGAAGUCAGCCCCUUAUUUAUCAUGAUUUGAACAAAGAUUUUUAAACCAACAUUAUAUGUACAUAAUGAUACCCAAAAAGAAGGAAAGAUAGCAAGUAUAUUGCAUUGCCAAUUUAAUAGCAGCAUAGAUUUAAUUGUGACUAAACCAAAAGCAGUCAUAAUACUUUUAAUAAUCAGAAAAAAGUUUAUAAAGUCUCUAAGAUUUGUCACAAUUUUCAACAUUAAUAAAACAUACAAAUUUACUCAUUUUUCUACCUUUUUUAGAGAAAAAACAAGUUAUUAAUCCAUCCAUUUAAAUCAUUUUUAACAGCAUCACAAACAAGUGAGAUUAUCUAUGAAAUAGCUUGAGAAUACAAAUAGCAAUUUUAGAUAAAAAUAUGAAUUGCCAUGUUUACAGAUGUACAUAUACAAAUUCGAAACCAACCAUUUGUUUGAUAAAAAAAUUGUCUUUUUAAUCAAGAUUGAAUUUUUUAACAAUAUUUUGUCAAGUCACACACUAGGCUAAAAGUCUCAAUUCCAACUUCCAUCACUAAUUGCAAUCAUUUAGCAAUCACAAUCAAUUCAGCUACUUAAAUCAACAAAAGUUUAUCAACUCCUCUAGCCAAAUAGUCAUGAUAUGUCCAAUUUCACACCUAACUUAUAUUAUCAUUAAGGACAAUGAAAAAGGAUAAAAGUAUAAAGCCAUAGAACCAACUUAAGUAAAUGAUUUUGAAAUCUAAUUUUACACCCCUUUUAUUCUCAAACUAUCAUUUGCUAAAAUUAAAAAGCAUAAAAAUAUACCACCUAUCAUGGAUACAAGCUAAUAAUCCAAAAUGAAGAGUUAUUGUUGGAAGGAUUAGACAAAAUAUUAUCUUCCCUCUAAGACAAAAACAUUAUUUUUCCUCCAACAAGAGCAUCAAACAUUCACUCGAAUGAUUACAGAAAAUCAAAAAAGCAUACUUCAAGGAGAAUGAAGUAGGUAGCAAAAAGGAAAAAAAAUUAGAAAUAGCUAAAAAUAAUGAAAAGGUGAGAAAAUAAAUAUUGGGAGAUGAAUAAGACUAAAAAAUGACCAGGAGAGUGAUAAGGAAGUAUCGAGAAAGGAAUAAUUAUGGAGCAUGAUUAUGGUCGAAUGUAGUUAGUAGAGUUACUCUGGCCUGAAAUAGCCAGAUUAGUUUAAAAUAAAAAUUGUUUGCACUCUAAAAAUUGAGAGAAAAAACCUCAAUAACAGAACGCUACGUAAUAAGUAAGAAUAUAGUUUUAAUACAAAAACAAUAUGUAACUUCCCAACAAUAAUAAAGCAGAAAAUCUCGCAUCAAAUAGCUAACAUAAAGGAAAAAAAUUUCUAAACAUUAAAAAUGAACUAUAUAUCAAAAUUGCAAACUACAUAGAUUUGCAUUUAGUUUCAAGACAAACCUCACAAAAGAAUAACCAACUUGCUAGGGCAAAACAAACAAAUGCUUAAUAUAUAGGAUGCAAAUCAUGUAUAAAAUCAAGCAAAGGCUGUAACCUAUCAAUGUCUACUAUCUUGCAAAAUCAGUAAAAACACAAUCUUGAGUGAUUAGCAAAAAUUGACAAUGCUGAGAAAUGAAGGGAAAAUGGGGAAAAAAUGGGAAAAAAGAAAAAGAAAGACAAACAGAGGAGGAAGCUGCGAAGAAAGGAAUAAGCAAAUAGAUUUCUGAUCAUGAGGCAAAAAUGGAAAAAAAUGUUAAAUGGUAGCAAAUGAUCAUGAAUUACAAUUACUGGACUAAACAAUAAAGGAAGUAUCAAAUCCAUCCUUGACCUCCUGCAACAAAAUCAUUCAUUUAGUUAAUUAUGAAAAAAAUGCAUCAACUAAUCUCGCAGAAAAAAGAAUGUAGAGUAAACACCAGGAUAAAAGCAAAAAAAAAAAAAAAAAAGCAAAAAAAAAAAUUAAAGGAAUAUAGGGUGAAAAUUUAAUGUGGAAGAAGCAGUGUAGAUAGGGUGAAAAUGGGGAAAAAAUGGGAAAAAAGAAAAAGAAAGACAAACAGAGGAGGAAGCUGCGAAGAAAGGAAUAAGCAAAUAGAUUUCUGAUCAUGAGGCAAAAAUGGAAAAAAAUGUUAAAUGGUAGCAAAUGAUCAUGAAUUACAAUUACUGGACUAAACAAUAAAGGAAGUAUCAAAUCCAUCCUUGACCUCCUGCAACAAAAUCAUUCAUUUAGUUAAUUAUGAAAAAAAUGCAUCAACUAAUCUCGCAGAAAAAAGAAUGUAGAGUAAACACCAGGAUAAAAGCAAAAAAAAAAAAGCAAAAAAAAAAAUUAAAGGAAUAUAGGGUGAAAAUUUAAUGUGGAAGAAGCAGUGUAGAUAAGGAUUCAUGUGACUGUUUUUGGCUAGAAAAGAAAGAGGAAAUGAGGGGAAAAAAGAAAGCCAAAAGAAAAAGAAAAAAUUGAAGACAGCUUCCUCAAACAAUUAAUAAGCCACGUGUCAAAGUAGAUGGGGGUAACUUGACAACCAUUAGAACUACUACAAUAUUCUCACUUCUUUCUUAUAUAACAAGUAGACUAGAGGCACUUGAGUUGUGCAAAGCACAACUUGGACCCCUUAGAAAUUUAGUUGAACACGUAACAUUAAAUUAUUUCGGCACAUGAUGAAUGAAUAGAAAUAUAGUGUGACGACCCCACCUCCCCCUAAGGCGUACCAAAGGGUUCGGCGGACCGCCUGCCCAGCUCUCGCCAGGACUCACUCACUAUCUCUAUCGAAUAAUGUACACACAACCAUGAACCAUAAAUAACAAUCCCAAUUCAAGCUUAUAAUUUACAUUGAUAGAAAUCGAGGUACAAAGUCUCAAUAUACUCAAACUGGUUCAAGGCGUAUACAAUCCAAAUACAAAACAUUCUAUUCGAGGAAUAGCACGAGUACAAGUCAAAAAUCAAACAACUAGUCUAUGCUAGACUUUACAUAUCUCGCACCUCGCUCGUACCCCUGAAAGGAAAACAAAUGGAGUGGAAUGAGCUAAAAGCCCAGUGAGGUUCCAAAUAGCAAAUUGACCAUUAUUUAUAAGUACGAGUUUUCGUUAUAGCCAAGUAACGAGCAUAAAGUGUUCAUGAAGUGUUCAUAAAUGUGAACAGUAACACGUCAAGUAGCAAUCUUAAAAUGAGCGAGUGUAAAAGUUUUUCAAAAGAAACAAUAAUCCAACAAACAAUAAGUAUUCCAAAGCAUAAGGAUACUGAUGGCUCUCAGGAGCCAAAUUCCCCUCUGCAUUACCAGAAGCUUGAUCACGUAGUAGUUGACACUCCGUCAACUUUCAAGUAAGUAACCAAUCCAGUAGAACACCACUUAAACGACUCUCCGUCCACCGUUCAACCCCCAGCUGGGCCCAAAAUCCUCAAGAACAUGGGUGGUAAUACUCGAGUAUACCGAUUAGUCGAGGAGAUAUCACACUCCACUCGACAAUACAAGAGACCCAGGGUUCGUUACCCAAUCGACCAAGCCCUUGCCGGCUCGACUAGAGUAACUCGCCACAGGGUUUCUGGAAUUCCAGGAAGUGCGCGCAUCAUAAUCAAGUAUAUCAAGUCAAUUGCAACAAUAAACAAGUAUAUCACGUAAGGGCAAGUGCGAUAAAGUACACUCUUGCCAUUACAAUUCACGUAUAUAACAUGUAAUCAGAUUGGUCACGUAUCAAGUUCAAGUAUCAAGUUCAAUUUGGUAUUUGAAAGCACUCACCAAAAGAUAUAGUGCCUUUACUGGUCACUUUCAGGUUAUACUCCGGGUUCGGAGUCCAAAUCUGCGAUAAAACUCAGUUUGAGAACUUUGAAACAUGACUAAGAUUCGAAACUUAGACGUUUCGUUCAAUAAAAUCAAGAAAUUGAAAUUCACUCGGAUGGUAGUCGUGAAACACUUGCUCGCUUUUUAAAUGGUAAAACUUUGUAACAUUUAUACUUGAAAUUGUCUUGCAAGUUGAAGUACAAGGAAAACAUACUUCGAGCAAUCAUUAUUUCAUUUCUCAAGGGUACAAGUUCGGCCAAGUCCUUACUUAUAUACCUCGAAACAAGAAGACUCAAGUACCCUAGAUGGUUCAAGUACUAUUCAUAUCAAUUCGACCCAAGUCGCAAGUGUAUUUAUAUAGUCCUCGAGCGUAAAUUCGGGCAGCAUGCCCUUUGUGUUUACCUAAUUUUCCAGCCUUUUAGGCUUCAUUGUUUUUCUCAAACACAACCCAACAUUACAUAUCUCAACAAUUCAAGCCAAAAGCCGUUCCAUAGGCUCACAAUAUCAUAAAAACAAGAUUCACAACAAUUACAAGUGCAGAAAUUUAACUUAGUACAAGACAGAUUUGACGUACAAUUGCGGAAAUAACAUAUCCGAGGCUACGCUUAUUGGAUUGAGGCAUAACCUAUGCCGUUUCGAAGCUAAGACACAGGGCUACAAUAUUCAUGAGGUCACUUAGUCCAGUUUCUAAUGUAACUUGGUCAAAUUCUCGGAUUACUAAACCAGAAACCAAAUCGUCGGCUGUUUAAACGCAGAACACUGUAAUGGACAAAACUCAGUGUACACAAGUCCGAAUCAGGUGUUCUUAGAGGCAUUUUAAAGCUACUUCAGAGCACUACAACUUUCAUGUUUUGGUCCAGAGCUAAAUCAGAAUGGAUCCUGGUCAAAAAUCGUGAUAAACUGGACUCAACUGAAGAAACGGACUGCUGGGAAAUUCUUAAAGCAGUAGGGGUAUUUUGGACUUUUCACGUUCUACGUUGCUCCGAUUGAGCUGAAAUUUUGUAGGCACCUAUAAAACACCAUUCUCUACAACUUUCCUUCUUUGACCAAAGGCCAAUUCGGCCUCUAACAUACAGAUACAAUUUCGGACAGAAUGCUUGGGAAAUUUUCCAGAAAUCUGGAAUUUUUAGCUCUAAGUGUAGUUUCCUCAAAUUUCUGGUUCCAAUCACCACUAAACAACCUUAUAUAACUUUAAUUGCAACAUUCAUGCAUCAUACAUCAACUUGAGCAGAAAAUCAGGAACCCUAGUUCAUCAAAUAAAUUGGGGAAAACUACUAAAACAUGCUAAUCAUCCAUAAUCUCACCCUAAAAUCAAGUUGCCCAUCUUAAUUUAACCAAAUUAAAAGCAAAACUUGGAGAGAUAAUCUCUCUUACCUUGAGUAGAGGUCACUAAGAGUAGUCCAAGCUUCCUUCCUUCAAAAACUUACCACAAAUCAACACUUAGUCACUCAAGAACAAGUUUAAUCGGUUUACUUUGUUUAUUUUCUCACUAAGUUGUUGGAUUUGAAGAUGAAAUGGAAGGUUUGCUCUCUUGUUUUUCCUCUCUCUCACUCACGGUUCUUCAGCAGCAAAAUGAAGAGGAAUGAAGCUAAGUGUUGGUCUUAUAAGAAGUAAGAAGGUUAGAGUUAAUUAUGACCACAAAUUUCUACUAACACUUGGACUAAUCUUGUCCACUAAUUUUUCUCUUUCUUCCCCUUGCUUCUUAGCCACAAAUUUCGGUCCUUCUUAGCUGAAUAUAAGAAGAUAUUUUGGCUUAAAUAUCAAUGAGCUUGUGGUGCAAGAAAGUGGUAGUCCAGUGGUGCGUUCAAACGGUAGUGCGCGGGACCCGCCGGUUCGCGCCGUUUUCUUAAAAACUCACGUACUAGGUUUUUUUCUUUCCAUUCACUAACCUUGUCUCAUGGCUACUACUCACAUAUUAUUUCUCACUUAAAAGUCACUUUUAAUCAUCAAAUUGAUCCUUGGCUAGUACCGAAAAUUCAUCCGGCGGAAAAAUCGAAAAACCCUAAUUUUGCUCAAAUCUUGAAACCGAAGUGUAAAACCCUAUUUCCAGGUUCAUCUGCACUUAUUGUUGAACGAUUGGGUAGUAGGGCCUUAAUAAAUAAUAAUUUUCAAAUAAAAGGAAAUUUUUAAGAAAACGUGAGGAAUUUUCCAAUUCCAAUGAUUAAAUUUAGGGUUUCAAUCAAAAUGUGAGAGAUUUAGGAGAACCGGUUAGUCACAAGUAAACUAGGGUUUUUGAUUAAAACAUUAGGGUUUCUAGUCUUUUAAAACAAAAUAAGGUUUUAAAUCAAACCCAAAGAAAUACACUUUAAUAUUUUCUUCACAAACAACCUCCUAAUAUUCGGGAUGUUACAAUCUCCCCUCCUUAAAAGAAUUUCGCCCUCGAAAUUCCAACGGGCACUAAGAGUCCUUUAAAGUCAGUCAGGUACUAGAAAUCACUCCAAUCCCUUAUAUAUGACCUUAUCAUUUAGUAAAAAAAAGCUAAGAGAUAACCAAAUAGAACAUGCAAAAAGGGCUCAAUUCGCAUAACUAGCCCUAAGUUGAAAGAAAAGUCUCAGAUAUUUGAAAAAUUUAAAACAUGGCUUAGCCUCAAGUCGAAAAUUUUUACCCCUGCCGGGUGCUUGGAAACACAACAGGCAAAGCCACACAAAUACGAAUAAGUUCAAAAGCAAGGUCAAAGCAGGGUUCAAACAUAUAAGUUCAAAAAUAGAUUCAAUUAUUUCAAGUUCAAGAAGCACGGGUACAAAUAAGAACUCACUCGACUAGCCUAUACCCAGCAAUUCACAUUCUCAAACAGUCGCCGAAUUCAAAUCCACAUAUAGGUCAUAUUACUCAUGUGUAAAAAUCAAAUCAGGUCUAUUACAUGUACGUAAGAGCACACUUGCCAAAACAAGUUCAAGUCCUAAAUGAGCUCAUUUUAGUCUGUCUCAGACAGUUCAAGUAUUGCAAACCCCUUUGAUCAGUCCAAUAACAAGGUUACAUGUUAGAAUCAUCCACGCUUUAACCUUUCCAUCAAAACUCACCUCAAGUGCAAUCAAGAUACAGACCCUUAUUCUAACGCACUUUACUAUAUGAUACCCAAGUACAAGAAUCCACAAUAAGACAAUUCACAACUCGAGCCGGCCGGUCCCAAGAGCAAAUCAUCCAUAUUAGAGAUUCCCACCUGGCAUAACUAACUAAUGUCUCCAACAAUAGACAAUCGUUCCACACUUAACAAGUCAAUUCCCACAGUCCGAGAACCUUAUCCCGGCACGAGCUCAAAAGGAGCUCUGAUACCAUCUGUGACGACCCCACCUCCCCCUAAGGCGUACCAAAGGGUUCGGCGGACCGCCUGCCCAGCUCUCGCCAGGACUCACUCACUAUCUCUAUCGAAUAAUGUACACACAACCAUGAACCAUAAAUAACAAUCCCAAUUCAAGCUUAUAAUUUACAUUGAUAGAAAUCGAGGUACAAAGUCUCAAUAUACUCAAACUGGUUCAAGGCGUAUACAAUCCAAAUACAAAACAUUCUAUUCGAGGAAUAGCACGAGUACAAGUCAAAAAAUCAAACAACUAGUCUAUGCUAGACUUUACAUAUCUCGCACCUCGCUCGUACCCCUGAAAGGAAAACAAAUGGAGUGGAAUGAGCUAAAAGCCCAGUGAGGUUCCAAAUAGCAAAUUGACCAUUAUUUAUAAGUACGAGUUUUCGUUAUAGCCAAGUAACGAGCAUAAAGUGUUCAUGAAGUGUUCAUAAAUGUGAACAGUAACACGUCAAGUAGCAAUCUUAAAAUGAGCGAGUGUAAAAGUUUUUCAAAAGAAACAAUAAUCCAACAAACAAUAAGUAUUCCAAAGCAUAAGGAUACUGAUGGCUCUCAGGAGCCAAAUUCCCCUCUGCAUUACCAGAAGCUUGAUCACGUAGUAGUUGACACUCCGUCAACUUUCAAGUAAGUAACCAAUCCAGUAGAACACCACUUAAACGACUCUCCGUCCACCGUUCAACCCCCAGCUGGGCCCAAAAUCCUCAAGAACAUGGGUGGUAAUACUCGAGUAUACCGAUUAGUCGAGGAGAUAUCACUCCACUCGACAAUACAAGAGACCCAGGGUUCGUUACCCAAUCGACCAACCCUUGCCGGCUCGACUAGAGUAACUCGCCACAGGGUUUCUGGAAUUCCAGGAAGUGCGCGCAUCAUAAUCAAGUAUAUCAAGUCAAUUGCAACAAUAAACAAGUAUAUCACGUAAGGGCAAGUGCGAUAAAGUACACUCUUGCCCUUACAAUUCACGUAUAUAACAUGUAAUCAGAUUGGUCACGUAUCAAGUUCAAGUAUCAAGUUCAAUUUGGUAUUUGAAAGCACUCACCAAAAGAUAUAGUGCCUUUACUGGUCACUUUCAGGUUAUACUCCGGGUUCGGAGUCCAAAUCUGCGAUAAAACUCAGUUUGAGAACUUUGAAACAUGACUAAGAUUCGAAACUUAGACGUUUCGUUCAAUAAAAUCAAGAAAUUGAAAUUCACUCGGAUGGUAGUCGUGAAACACUUGCUCGCUUUUUAAAUGGUAAAACUUUGUAACAUUUAUACUUGAAAUUGUCUUGCAAGUUGAAGUACAAGGAAAACAUACUUCGAGCAAUCAUUAUUUCAUUUCUCAAGGGUACAAGUUCGGCCAAGUCCUUACUUAUAUACCUCGAAACAAGAAGACUCAAGUACCCUAGAUGGUUCAAGUACUAUUCAUAUCAAUUCGACCCAAGUCGCAAGUGUAUUUAUAUAGUCCUCAAGCGUAAAUUCGGGCAGCAUGCCCUUUGUGUUUACCUAAUUUUCCAGCCUUUUAGGCUUCAUUGUUUUUCUCAAACACAACCCAACAUUACAUAUCUCAACAAUUCAAGCCAAAAGCCGUUCCAUAGGCUCACAAUAUCAUAAAAACAAGAUUCACAACAAUUACAAGUGCAGAAAUUUAACUUAGUACAAGACAGAUUUGACGUACAAUUGCGGAAAUAACAUAUCCGAGGCUACGCUUAUUGGAUUGAGGCAUAACCUAUGCCGUUUCGAAGCUAAGACACAGGGCUACAAUAUUCAUGAGGUCACUUAGUCCAGUUUCUAAUGUAACUUGGUCAAAUUCUCGGAUUACUAAACCAGAAACCAAAUCGUCGGCUGUUUAAACGCAGAACACUGUAAUGGACAAAACUCAGUGUACACAAGUCCGAAUCAGGUGUUCUUAGAGGCAUUUUAAAGCUACUUCAGAGCACUACAACUUUCAUGUUUUGGUCCAGAGCUAAAUCAGAAUGGAUCCUGGUCAAAAAUCGUGAUAAACUGGACUCAACUGCUGAAACGGACUGCUGGGAAAUACUUAGAACAGUAAGGGUAUUUUGGACUUUUCACGACCUACGUUGCUCCGAUUGAGCUGAAAUUUUAUAGGCACCUACAAAAUUCCAUUCUCUACAACUUUCCUUCUUUGACCCAAGGCCAAAUCAGCCUCUAACAUACAGUUAAAAUUUCGGACAGAAAUUUGGGGAAAAAUUCCAGAUUUUGAAACUUUGAGUUUCUAGUGCAUCUAUCCUUCAUUUCUUGGUCCAAUCACUACCAUAACACCUUAUAUAACUUCAAUUACAACAUAUAAGCAUCCUACAACAAUUUGGGCAGAAUUUCCACAAGCCCUAGUUCAUCAAAUAAAUUGGGGAAAACCACUAAAACAUGCUAAUCAUCCAUAAUCUCACCCUAAAAUCAAGUUGCCCAUCUUAAUUUAACCAAAUUAAAAGCAAAACUUGGAGAGAUAAUCUCUCUUACCUUGAGUAGAGGUCACUAAGAGUAGUCCAAGCUUCCUUCCUUCAAAAACUUACCACAAAUCAACACUUAGUCACUCAAGAACAAGUUUAAUCGGUUUACUUUGUUUAUUUUCUCACUAAGUUGUUGGAUUUGAAGAUGAAAUGGAAGGUUUGCUCUCUUAUUUUUCCUCUCUCUCACUCACGGUUCUUCAGCAGCAAAAUGAAGAGCAAUGAAGCUAAGUGUUGGUCUUAUAAGAAGUAAGAAGGUUAGAGUUAAUUAUGACCACAAAUUUCUACUAACACUUGGACUAAUCUUGUCCACUAAUUUUUCUCUUUCUUCCCCUUGCUUCUUAGCCACAAAUUUCGGUCCUUCUUAGCUGAAUAUAAGAAGAUAUUUUGGCUUAAAUAUCAAUGAGCUUGUGGUGCAAGAAAGUGGUAGUCCAAUGGUGCGUUCAAACGGUAGUGCGCGGGACCCGCCGGUUCGCGCCGUUUUCUUAAAAACUCACGUACUAGGUUUUUUUCUUUCCAUUCACUAACCUUGUCUCAUGGCUACUACUCACAUAUUAUUUCUCACUUAAAAGUCACUUUUAAUCAUCAAAUUGAUCCUUGGCUAGUACCGAAAAUUCAUCCGGCGGAAAAAUCGAAAAACUCUAAUUUUGCUCAAAUCUUGAAACCGAAGUGUAAAACCCUAUUUCCAGGUUCAUCUGCACUUAUUGUUGAACGAUUGGGUAGUAGGGCCUUAAUAAAUAAUAAUUUUCAAAUAAAAGGAAAUUUUUAAGAAAACGUGAGGAAUUUUCCAAUUCCAAUGAUUAAAUUUAGGGUUUCAAUCAAAAUGUGAGAGAUUUAGGAGAACCGGUUAGUCACAAGUAAACUAGGGUUUUUGAUUAAAACAUUAGGGUUUCUAGUCUUUUAAAACAAAAUAAGGUUUUAAAUCAAACCCAAAGAAAUACACUUUAAUAUUUUCUUCACAAACAACCUCCUAAUAUUCGGGAUGUUACAUAUAGGAGAAAAAUUAAGCAUCAAAACAAUUAAUAUCGACAAAUGUUAUUUGAACUCUUAUUUUUGUUAAUCACACUUCCAUUAUUAUUUUUAUAAUAUAUUCUUAUUUAUUGUAGGAAUACAAUUAAUAAAAUAUGGAGUAUAAAUAAAAUUUUCCUCAAAAUUUAUUGUGAAGAGAAAUUUCAUCUAUGAAGUCAACCCCCCUAUUUAUUGUGAUUUUAAUAAAGAUGUUUGAACCAUUAUUAUGCUGAUACCCAAAAAGGAGAGAGAAUUAAUACAUUAUAAGUGUAUUGCUGUAUUGACAGAGCAUAGUUUUUAACAAAUUUCUAACAAAUUUUUGUUAAGUUAUACUCUAGGCUGAAAGCUUUAAUUGUGACUCUUACCACCAACUAUAAUCCUUGUAUGCCAACCCAAUUGAUACUACAACACUUGAGUAAUUAAAAAACAAACAAAAAUUAACAUUAGUUUAAAUAUAUACAUAAUUUUAUUGGAUCCUUCAAUUAAAUUGAAAAGACCAUAAAGUAAUUGCAAAAAAUGAGAGGGGAAGAAAGAAACAGAGAAAAUAGAGGUAGAAGAAUGCUUAUUUAGAUUUAUCUUGAUGGAACCAUCACAUGAUAUAUUUUUUCUCCUAAAAAAUACACAAAAUUGUAACCAAAAAACAAAGAAAAGGGAAAAAAAUGUGAAGUAAGAAAUCAAACCCUGGGAGAAGAAAAGAAAAUAAUGAAUUUUAGUUUUAUUUUUCAUAGAAGAUGAUCAAUGGUAUAAAAUGAAUUCUAAGAUCUUUUUACAUAUUUUUAUAUUUUACCAUUUAUCCAUGAAGAAAUACCAAUUAACAACAUCAUCUUAUAAAUUUAACAAACAAAUGCCAGUUGGUUAUAGCAUUAUGAUCGAAGAAUAGAUCAAACAUGAAAGAUAAGAGAUGAAGAAAAAAGGAAGAAAAGAAAAAGUAAAAUGGGAUCAAAAAAUAAUAAACACAUUUCUUUUCUAAGUAGCUAAUCAUCUCAACGACAAAAAAAAGAACAUGGCAACAACCUUGUUAUAUUAGUUUUAAAAAAUAAAAAAUAAAAAAGGUGAGAGAUCACAGCAGUUGUCGCAAAGAAGAAGAAGAAGAGAUGGAAUUGACUUUAUGAAGGAGAAAAAACAUUUUUAAUUCUUUGACUCAAUUGAAUCAAAGGAGGGAAGGAAAAAUUUAGCUAAAAUGACCAAUAUUCCACUUGUAAAAAAUAUAUAUAAUACAUGUGUCAAAAAGAUGGGCUCCUACAGUAAUUUAGCCUUUUUCUUAUAUACAAUGUAGAUAUAAAAAAAGAGCAUUGAAUUAGAUGCCGUCUAUGUUUUUAAAUUAGGAUCGGACCGGCUGGUUGAACCAGGAAUGGGCCAAAUGUCCAGUCCGAAUUAUUCUAAAAAAUUGGAUAAGUAAAAGCUUGAUCAAACUCGAUCAAAAAUCGGGUUUGACCGGAAAAACUGGUUCAGUCAAAGCUUUUUUUAAAAAAAGGUCAAACAUUUUCGAUAUUAUGUUUUUGAACCCUAAAUUGUUAAAAAUUAUUAAUAUAAUUCAAAUAUUUCAUACUUUAUAAAUGUUGUCCUAAAAUUUGAUGUUAUUUUUCCAAUCAAAUCCAUAAUUUUAAUUCUAAACUUGUUAAUGUUCAGUAAAUAAUAUAAAUUGCUACUUGAUCGUUCUAAUUUCUUUGCGUUUUCUCGUUAAAUAUAUUUGAAACAUCAAAUAUAUUUGAAUAUAUAUUUAUUAAUGUUAACAUGCUCGUAGGUAUUUUACAUAAAAUAUAUUAAUUUUUAAAUAAUUUUAUUUAUGACGUCAUCCGAUUCAACCCCGAUCGAAUAUAUUGACCCUGACUCCUGAUUUCAACCAAGUCGAUACCUGGUCCGAGUAUGAAAAUAUAGGGUGUAGUCACUAUUUAGAUUUUAUCAUCGCAAUCACUAAAUUAUACCUUUACCGUUUAAUUACAUGUUGCUCGUAUUGUCAACAAAUAUAAGCAUAGUUAAUUUUCAUCCAUAACCACUUACAAAUACUAUAACCACCAAGUUAAUUAAAAUUCUAGUAAAAAACCUUUUAAAAGAUCAAAGUUUUUUUUUGUUUAUGAAAAUUUAAUAUUAAGUUCUUUCAUAUCAAAAGUGAUUAUUUCUAAAUUGCAAACAUUCGUGUGUGCGCCCCCAUAUCACUAGUUAACGUUUACGAUUCAUGUGUGGUUUUUUAUCAUAGACGAAACGGAAACCUUGUUUAAAAAACUAAAAACAGAAGUUUUUUUUUUGUGCUUUUACUUGGACUAGGAGGAGAACACCGCGCGAUGCGCGGUGUAAUUUUCAAGGUUGCCCAGCAAUGCCCAAUGAUUCAAAUUCAAAUACUAUUAAGUAUAAAAAGUUACAAAAAGAUAUACCAAAAACUUUGUCAUUCUAUUUUUGUAGUUUUAUUAAGUAAUGAAUAUGAAUAAUCUGUUAAGGAAAUGCAAGACAAUACAAUGAGUAGACUACUAAGAUCAUUAGGAUGCUCCUUACUUUUGCAUAGAAUGAAAAUAGAAAUAAAAAAAGACACAUGUAAUGGUGGAGAAGGGGAAAAAAUAUAGCUUGAAGAAAUACACAAAGCGAGUUGUUAGUUCCUAAAAAAGGCAUUUAAUAGAUAUAAAUUUGUUUUUUGUUGAUAAAAACCACAAAUCAAGUUGUCAAUUCCUAGAAAAGGAUGUUUAACAGCAAUAAGUUCUUUUACAAUAUAUUCAAACGAAUAAUAAAAUGUAUAUACAUGCAGUAUAAAGAGAAUCUACUUAGUGAGACUAAACCUAUACCGGUGCCAAUUGAACAAAUUGACAAAGAAAAGAAAAAAGUAUUUCUAAUUGGCCACAAGCAAAAUGAUUCUAGAGUUUCAAUGACUAAUAGCAUCAGAGAGCUCCAGUUUCAUUCAGAUUCUCCUUUCGUUCCCGUAAAAGGCCGAAAGCAAACACCUAUCCAGCAGUGAACGAUGGGUUUAGAAAAACUCUCUAUAGUCGAAACUUCAAGUUAAAAGCUACAGACAAGAAGCAAUGUCAUAAACCAGAUUACCAAACAUGUGAACAAAAAAAUCCUAAAGAAAAUAUCAUGGGAAUUUGAAUUUCUAUGGAACACUUAAUUCUGAUCAGAAACAUCAAAUUUUGGGAAAAAAAAACAAAGCAAUUUAUACCAACCUAUAAUAAUAGUGUGAAAGUCAAAAUAAGCAAAUAAAUAAGUAAAAGCACAAGACAGUACCUCAGGAGAAACCAAAAGUAAUGAGAUCUGACAAAAUUUCUUGAUGAUAUUAAUGCAAAUAACCCAUGAGCAUCUUCACACUUCAAGUGCACGAGAGGUAAUUUAAUGUUUCUAAAGAAAAGAAAAGAAAUAUCUCAAGAACCGAAAAAGCAACAAAGACAAUCUUAACCAAAGGCAGCAAGAAUAAUUAAACCCAGCAGGAUAAUGCAUCAUAGUGGAACAGUUCAAUCAAAUAAAACUUGGAUCUUCAGACAUAUUCAAAGUGUAAUACAUUUGAAAUUUUUCUACCUAAAGCAAUAGUAGAAAUCCAAUUUUACUUUCAAGCUCUUACCAUCUAUAAUGAGUCUAUCAAAAUCCAAUUUUUCAAUCAUUCUAAUAACAAAUUCUACAAUCAUAAAUGCAACUCACACAAAAAUUUUUAAAAAAAAAAAUCGCCUAGGACUAUGUAAUUUUAUUAUUUCUUCUUUUUUUUUUUUGCUUCAGAAUCAAUAAUAGAAAGUCAGAAAUAAAAAAAAGGCAAACAAGAAAGAAACUCAGAAAACUGCUCAAGUUACAAAGAAAAAGUAACAGAAAAAACUUACAGCAUUGAAUCAAACCAAAGAUGUGUUCUUUCCCUUCAUCUGCUUCACCUCAUUUUCAUUUCAAAAAUUCAGAUAAAAAUGUAUUUUGAACUAAAAUAAAACCUUACAAAAACUGCUUAAAUUAAAAUAAAAAAGAAACUUAUAGACCUGAUUAGGCUGAAGAUCCAUAUUUUUCUCUUCUUCUGCUUAUGCUUCUUCUCAUCUUCUCCUUCUAAUCAGGGGAAAAAUUAAACAAAAAAAAUACUUACAGAACCAGCCUAAAUUUCACAAAAAAAAGUGAAAACAAAAGCAUACAUGUUCUGAUGAAAAUCCAUUUUUCCUCUUCCUGCUUCUUUUCAUGGCUUCUUUUUUUUUUUUUUGUCCCAUUUCUCCUGUUGUUUAAAAUGGGAACCUGAACAUAAUCAAAGCAAGGCCAUUAGAAAUUUGUUGCAAUUGUGAGAAGCUAAUACAAAGAAAAAUCAAAGAUUCCUUAAUCAUGCCUUCAAACCAAAUUGUUCCAUUUUCACCAAAAUUAUGCACGAAUCUAGUUUCUUGUUUUCAUGAAGCUCUAUUUGUACUCUCAAAAGAUUCCAUUUAACCAUUUAAUGGUGAGAUGAGGAAUAAAUCCCGUAAAGUAAAUUUCACAAAUUUAAAUAUGUAAACAAAUCGUUAUAAUUUACAAAAUAAGCAAUCUUGGCAAUGGUGAUUCGAUGCACACCACAAAUGUCCACUACCUAAGGCAUGACAAUGUGUUGUCAGACGUAUCCAUAUGCUAUCUUACCCAAACAAUAUAGACAGUCUAAAUGAGCAAGAAAUAUAGAGUAAACCUCUUGAAUGCUCUUGGAUGGCAAUAAUUCUUAAAAGUUUUCUUACAAUAACAGCAUAAUGGUCAACAACAAAUUCAGUAAGUAUUAAGUUUCACGUAGUCGUAUACCUCCCCUAAUGCUUAAAAGUAAGAAUUAACCACCAUUUUUUCUUUCUUCCCUCUCUUGACAAAAAUUUGAGCAGAAAACCAUUGAGCAAAUCAAUACAGAUAUGAAGAGUAAAGCCUACAAAAAAUUGCCCACUUAAACAUUUUUUUCCUCAGUAAAAUUUGAAUAAUUCUUCACGUUUCUUGCUCUAAUAAAAGAUAAUUAAAUAAAAUAAGAGACCUAAAAAAACCUUCUGUAGCAAACAAAGUAGUAUUUAUGAUUCCAAUACAAUGAAUUAAUGGUAUGCAAAUAGUGAAGGACUGAAAGGCUGAAAUUAAGAAUAAACCAACUAAUAAUGACCAUGCUCAACACAAAAGCAAGAUAAAAAAAAAGUAAGAAAGGACUGCAUUUUUAACUUACAAAGUUUGUUAUUCCAUGAACUGGUUUCAGAGUGACUGCAUCUUCAAUCAUUUGCACCUUUAACAUUAACAAAGUAAAUUAAUAACAUAAAAGAAUAAAAAAAUUAAUAACAUAACCGAAAGUAAAAUAAAAAGAAGAUGCCUGUAGAAAAUAGGAUCUAAAUGCAAAGUAAUCCUAACAUCUUUUUGUUAUUUUAGCUGCAAAAAAUUCUCUUUACCUUUUCAAGGAAUAUAAAGAAUCUGGAAAGACCAAUAUAUUACCACACCAAACUUUUAAUUGUCAUAAACAUUGAAAUCAUUUUCACGAAAGGUAAAGUCUAAAUAAGCAAAAAACAUGUAGUAAACCACUUAAAUGGCAGUAAAUGGUAAGAAAUUUCACUGCAAUAACAGGCUAAUACUCAAUCUGCCAUAUUUACUCUAUAUUCACUUUAUAUUCUCAAAAUGUUAUCCCCAUGAACUCAAACCAAUAAUCUAGGAACAAAAUAAACAAAAAUUUAACCAAAAAAUGGUAUUCUUGUAAAACUAAAAUAAAAGGCACUCGUGUAAAAGAAGAAGGGCAGGCAAAAUGCAUGCAUAUACAAAUAUAUAGGGAACAUGUACUUAAAACGACUAUCUUAACUAAUGGCUCCUUGAUCAGUUUCAAUGCUUUUAUCAGCAACUAAGAAAACGCAAUGUUUGUUGAAAAAAAAACUAAGAAAACACAAAAGUAUUUUUUUUCUUUUGUGUUAAAGAAUCCAUAUAUACUCUUCGGAAAAUUAGAACCAAAACUUCACAAGGGCAAAAAAAUAAGAAGAAUAGUUUUCUCAAAAAUAAAGACAAAAAAAUAACUAAAGUUGUUAACAGUCAUUGACAUGAAAUUUGAUCUCUGCAAAUGGAGACUUUGGGUUGGUUACCAUAUGGAUAGUCUUUUGUGAGUCAAUAAUUGAACGUACUCCUGCACAUAACAAACCCAAAAAAAAAAAAAGCCAUCAGAUGAGCUGUGAAAACUCCAUUUUCCAGAGUUUCAGGACAACCUAUUCCUUCAGUUUCUCUACCAAGUAAUUUUUCCAUCUAUAAUAAAUAUCAUACAAGUUUGUAUAACGGGCUCUAGAGACCCAAAAGAAAGAAACAAGUAACAUAGAAACUACUUAAAAAAGAGUACAAAUGUUAAAAAAGAAAAAAUAAAAUAGAGAAAACCUGAGAUGAAGAAGGACGAAACCGAAGGAAGCAAAAUUGCCCGCAAUGUUUCUCAGUGAUGAUCUUCUCUUGGCUACAUUUGUCUUGUGAGAAAGCAUGGAUAAAGAAAUAAGGAACAAUAUAGGCAAAAUUUAGAUAUUAACCAGGUGAAAAUUUUUGGGGAAUAAAACCAAUAAAUAUAGAAAGGAAAUAAAGAUUAAGAGGCAACAACGAACCAGAUAGUUUGGAGAUAGAUUCUCCAAAUUUCCUUGCUUCCGGAGCUAAAGAGGAUCAAGCAGAGAGAGAAGAUCUGGAGCAACCUUAUUAUCCUACAAAGAAAAAAAAAACCACAACAAGCCACAAUAUUAGACAACUAAACCGGAGAACAAAAAGGAAAUAAGGCUAGAGAAGUUUAGGCAGGGGAGGAAAGAACAAACCCUUUAAGCAAUGAGAAUAAUCUUCUUGGAGUAUUUAUAUGAAAAACCGUAGGCAAGACACAUUGCAAAAGAUUUUCCAUAUUUGAAACUGCAAUACCACAAUAAAUAUAAAGUUAGACAAGAAAACCCUCAAAAAAAAUCUUUUAAAGAUUACCGUAUAACCACACCAAGCAAUAAACAACCUGAAGAAACCAACUACGUGUAGUUCUCUUUGUGAACUCCUCUAUUUCUUUACCAGUAAUAAUGCACACAAAAGAAACCACAGAAACCAAAAAAGAAAAUAAUCACCAAAUGAUACCUAAUAGUCAUAAAAUUUUAAAAAUGAAAAAGAAAAAUUCACAGCCAAGAAAUAUCUACAAAAUAAUAGGAAGCUAACCUUAAAAGUCACUCGAUUACCAUGCAAAUGCUUAAUUUCUUUUCGUUUCCCCUCCAGAAUGAUUUGACGUAAUUUUUUUUGAGUUGAUCUUGGCAGUCAAAGUGAAAGCAUUGGGAGAGAAUUAAUUGCAAAAGGAAAAAUUAGGGAAAGCAGAAUCCACCAAUAAUAUUUAUUGACGAAGAAGAACUUACAAGAGAAUCUAGCAGAUCUGGAAACUACCCGGAAAAGAUUGCGAAAAUAAGAAGUGGGUGUUAAUUUGUAAUUGAUCGGUUCCGGAGAGAGGGAUGGAAGAUCACACAAUAAAGUACAAAAAAAAAAGGAUAAAAUUGAGGAAACUUAUUCACUCAGUAUAACUAUUUGUCAAAAGACGAGAGAAGAAAAGGCGGGAAUAGAUUGAUUGCAGUGAUUACCUUGAGCGCCGUAAAUUGAAGUGGUCAUGAUCCCAUCAGAAAAGCAUUCAGAAGACACACACACAUGGAGAGGCAAAGAAAUGGACCGGUAUUUGGAAACAAAUUUAAUCAAAACACCUCGGACAACAACAAGAAUUCCACCUUUUCUAUCGAAAGCACGCGACUCCCACGUGACUGACGACCACCCUCCGGCCAAUAAAACCCAGCCACGUCAGCACAAAACUAUCGCACUUAACAAUCCCAUUCGCUCUUUUACUAUAUAGGUAGAAAAGUUGGUGUGCUGAUGUGCCACCCAAUUCAGAUGGACCGAGCCCAACAUUUACCUGCCUGAACUUCAGAAGUAAAGCAACCCCUAUAGUAAGUAUUGGGCCUGUAAACCAACUCACACGUACGAAACAACAUUACGUUGCACUGCGCACCAAAUAUCUAUUUUGUCUCUAUUUCUAAAAAUGCUAGAGCAAUGAUAAAUUAUGUUCUUAGGGACAUGAGGGUAUGUCUUAAUUUAGAAAUGGUAGUGGCAGUAAUGAGUUGCAUAGGCAAGAAUUAGUAAGUAAUAAAUUUUGAAAUGAGUUAGAGUUGUUGAACUUUGUUUGUUUUAGUGAGUAUGAUACGUACAAAAAAUCAAAGAUUAAAACCUUAUUUUUUUUAUCUUGUUCUUUGAAGAAGAAUAUUUUAGGAUAUUUGUGAAAAAUUAUAAGUUAUUAGGUCUAUAUUGUUACAUAAACCUUAAAAGUAAGGGACGUUAGUAUUAUUUUUGAAACUCGAGAGGAGAUCUCUGUAAUUGGUGGAAACCUCAAGGGAGGUUUCUGAAAUUAUCCCUAUUUUGUUUUAGGUUCAACUGGUCUAAGAUUUGUGCUUAUUGUGUUUAAAUUUAAUUGUUUAGUCUUUAUCCUCUUCACAUUUUCGAAAAUACUUUGGAUGGUAACUUUUCAAGAGUUUUUAGGAAAAAAAUUACUGUAACAUUUUUUUGAAGUGUGAUUUAUGUAAACUAAAAAAAUAAUUAUGUAAAAAAAAUGUUUACAAAAAAUGUAAAUUUUUUUUUUGCCAAGAAACGGCAGUUCAAUCGAGGCCAAAUAACAAGAAGGGUUGAAUCUAAGAAGGCAAAAAAAAAAAGAGUUGAAUUUCUUUGGCCCUCGCCUACUUCCCAAAAAAAUUUUGGAAGACCUUUAGCAAAGAUUCUCAACGAAGACUGUUCAAGAAUGAUGAAAGAUGAAUAUUGUUUUUUUUUCUUGAGUAGUAUGCUAUGAUUUUGAAAGGGGAAAAAAAUGUUGAUGGUAAAAACUAGAUGUUGUCAAUGUGGAGUUGUCAAGGAAGGUUAAAAAGAGAACUUCGAACCUCUAACUUUGGUGACUUCUCGCCAUCCCAAGUCCUAGGUAAUGGAAGGUUUUCUUAAAAAAAUAUUAUAUUUCUUGUUGGUUUGAGAACCUCUACCGUUACUAGCGGUAAAAAUGCAAAUUUUCUUUGGGAUAAUAUCAGAAACCUCCCCUGAGGUUUCUUGAAAUGUCACUAAGCUCCCCCUACAUUUUGAAAAUCUCUUUUACCACCCUUUGAAUUGACAUUUUCUUAACAAUGUUAGCCCCUCUAAGCAAAAGUAACAAUAGAAUAUGCAUUUUGGAGAGGGGAGGGUAUUUUAUAUCUAUUUAUACCCUUAGUUUGACUGAAUCCUGUGACAUAAAAAAGUUGCAGUAGGUGAAAAAUGUGAAUUGGAGAUAAUUUUUCUGGCAUGAGCAUUGUUGCAUGACCGUUGGACAUUCAAUGGCUACUUUGAGUGCUUCAGCGGUAUUAAAAGGUGAGGGAACCGCAUGAAAUAGCUGCAAAACUUAAAGAGGUAAUUGGGCAAAGAAAUGGCUAGUUCAUCCUUUGAAGGGCAGUCAUACAAAUCACCUUCAUCAUUAAGCAUGAAGAACUGAUAUUAUAAAUGCAACCGCAAGGCUAUAUUACGAAUCUCAGAUAGUGAAAGAAAUCCGGAUAAGCUAUAUUUUAGUUGUUCAAAGUGCAACUACUUCCAGUGGCAUGAAGAAAUGAAGAUGAAGAGUUGCAAAGCCAAAGAAAUGAAGGUGAAGAAGUGCAGCGUACAAGAAAUGAAGCUGAUUCUGCAGUGCUUCCAUCAAGGAAAGCAAAUCAAGAAUGUAACUUUGUGCCUCAACAAAAUGCAUGCAUCACCUUUUUGUUCAUCAUCAAUCUUGUACUCUUAGCAAUUUAUCUUUUCAUUCAAAUCGUUAAAGCAAUCACACUUUCUUGUUCCAGUAAUAGUAGAUGUGUUCCAAGCUGUUUGGAGCCUUACUGGUCAUACAUGAAAGAACCAGAAGGCAUGUGUAAGUUGGACAUGAUGUUAAGCUAUGUGAAAAAGAGUUGAAGCUGUAUUUUACUUCAUACGUAUGUCCCCCAAAUUUGUUGCAUUAAUAUUAUACCAAAAGUCAUACUUGACAAAAAAUGCAUUAAGCACACAGGUGAAGUUCCUUAAGUACAACAAUACUUUACUGCUAAGUUCAUUGGAAAACAACAGUUCAUAUUCCAUAUAUAAUCCUAAGGAAUCCGAGUCAUAGAGUUAAAAAAAAGCAUAGCAUGACAUCUUUGAAGUUAGCAAUUCCAUACAUAAAAGGUAAUAAGUCAUAUGUUCCAAGAUCUGUAGAUAGCAGCAGAGCAUACUUGGCAAGAGUAAAUUGCAAUUCCCUAGCAAGUAUCAAAAUAUAUGUCUUUUAGUCGUUCACUGGGACUGGGAAUGCAAUUAAGCACUUGGCAUAUGUUACAUAUACAACUAAUCAAAAGUAUGUAGCAAUCAACAAGAAUCUCAGAAAACAUCAUCUAAAAACAUCAUUCUAGAUGAUGAGGAUUGCUACAUAUACAACUGUACCAGAUCAGUCUCUCAAAGCAAAACUCAUAAUACUAGUACUAAUUAGAACCACAUACUGAUGUUGCUAUUGUCAAUGUGAGAUCCCGUAGUUGCAGAAGUGGAUAUUGCAGUUGCAGAAGUGGAUAUUGAAGAUGCAGUGACUGUUGGAAAUCUUGCAGAUGGAGUGACUGCUGGAGUUUGAUGUGGACCAACAGCAAUGGAAGGUCUGGCUCUCUUAUUGUUGUUAGCAACAAUAGUUCCAACCCUUGCAUUUGGCCCUCCUCUCUGAAGCCAUGCAACAAAUUCUAUUAAACUAAUGGCCUUGACAGUUAGAAUAGUUAGCAAUAGGUGAUGAAACUAAUUUCUGAUUAACUAUACCUUUCUGGUAUUAGUACUAGUGCAGGUAGAAUGAUUAAGUUGAACAUUAACUCCAGCAGUUUGAUUUUGAGUGCUUCCAUUACUACCUUGACUUGAUACAAUGACUGGGACAUUUCCUUGUGUAUGUUCCUGACAAAUCAUGACCAAAAGCUAAGCUCAUUUGCAGGGAAUUAAUACACAUAAAGAUACUGUAAUUUAGCAUUGCUACAAUUAUCCAUAGAACAAAUCCUGCUAAUCCAGUAUUGGCAAUGCUUCUUUCUGAUCUUCGUCUUCGACUUGCUAUUUGAUUUGUAGAAGCACUGCUACCUCUUUUUUUUUUUAUCAACAAGAGUUCCUUGACAAGUUCUCCUAUUAUGUCAAAAUGCACCACACUUAGAACACUUGAAACUGAUUGAUCUCUUCUGUUGUGAUGCAGGAGCUUCUUCACCAGGUGCUCUUUUUCUAUUUCUUCUUGGUCUGCUAGCUCUUCUUCUAAGUGGUGGUGGCAAAACUACUGCUGGUGUCACAUCUUUCAUAUGAGACCACCUAUUCAUAUGUGAAAUUGGGUUGAUCAUGAAUGCAUAUGUUUUCAAAUAUUGAUCAUUAGAAAAGGCUGCAUCACAAUAGCUUUCCAGUUUCUCCCUUCUAUAAAUAGCUCCUAGUGCAGCAUGCUUGUAAGGAAUACCAGCCAACUGGAAAGCCCUGUAUUCACAUGUCUUCUCAGUCAAUUUUACUAUAUAGGAUUUAUUGACAUCUGCUACUUCAAAUGUGUUCUCACUUGCCAUUGUCAGUGAACACCUUCUUGAUUCAGCUACAAUAUCCUUCAACUUACCAAUAACAUGUAGAGUAACACUAGAUGUCCAUGUGCAGCCUUCUUGAUACCUCUUAUGUAGUUUCUUCAUGAAUUUUUGCCUCAGUCCAUCAGCCAGAGCAAGUAUAUUCUUUUCUCUUAGUUUUCCAACCCAUACAUUAAAAGAUUCUGUAAAAUUAUUGGUGAUAUGAUUACACUUAAUUUCAAUAGAGAAUGCAUGCCUUGCCCAAUUACACUUAGGAAUGUUUGCUAAGUAUUUUCAAGCAUCUAUGUUAAUAUUCUUUAUUCUUUUCAUAGUUUCAUUGUGUCCUAUCAGAUCAUAGCUUUUAGUUGCUUGCCAAAAAAAUCUCCUUAGAAGCAAUUCUGAAAAUUUUAUUUUGAAGUUGCAGUAGAUGUGUCAACAACAAUAUCGUGCAGCAGUUUCAGGCACUUGUUCCUCAUAAGUAAGGUUGAGUCCCUAUACAAAAGUUUUAGAAACAAAUUCCUUCAAAUACUUGAUUUAGCCACUAUAACAACAAUGGAAGAAAUCUGAAACAUGAAACAUACAACCAGGUAACAUACCUUCUGUCUAUCACUCAUGAAGGUGAGUGGAAUAUUGGUUGAAAAUGGUUCAAAGAAUUCUUGAAAAUAGUAAAAAAAUCAACUCUAAGCUUCCUUAUUUUCAUACUCUACAACAGCAAAAGCUAAUGAAAACAAACUGUUAUUUCCAUCAAGAGCAACAACAGUCAACAGAAUGCCCCCAAAUGCACCUUUCAAAUGGCAGCCAUCUAAGCCAAUAAAUGGCCUGCAACUUGCCAGGAAAUCAUUUCUUUGUGUCUUGAAAGAUAUGAACAAUCUCAGAAAUUUAAUCUAUAAGAAGGUUUGGCCUAUCAUAGUGAAUUUUCAUGAUGCUUCCUAGGUUAUGCAUCCUCAAAAGUUCAGCUUAUUUUGGUAACUUUUCAUAGGCCCCACUGUGUGAUCUUUCUAUCUGUUCCAAAACUUUCUUUUUUGCUCUGUAAAUUUGCAUUCUACUUGGCAAGACUCCAUGCUUCUGCAUUUCAGUCUUUACUGCCUUGCUUGUCAUCUCUGGGUGAUCUCUCGUAAUAGAAAUUAACUUCUUUGCAAUCCAAUCUGAUGUUGCUUCUGAAUUUUUCCUAUUCAUGACACACGUAUGCUCAGGUGUAUUUGUCUUAACCAUAAAUGUUGUUGUAUCAGCAACUAGGGAUGCAUAAAUCCUCCAAUUACAACCCUCAGCACCAUACUUGGUAGUGCACCUGCUCUUUUCAUUUUUUAAUCUCACCAAACGAAAAUCCUUUAUGAAUAGCAUAGUCCUUCAACACUGCUUUAAAUGCAUCCACAUUGGUAAAUAGCAUUCCUUUCUCAAAUUCAAUAUCCUCUCCUGGAUUGUAAGUCCACAUUUUUUACUGCAUGAUUGCUCUCAUAGGAUCUGAUUCUUGGUCAGAUUCUGAAUCAGGCACAACUUGUGCAUCCUCAAUCUUCUCAUAAUCAGACAAGUCAUUCUCCUCCUUCUCACUGGAAGAAAUUAAGGCUCUAUCUUCAGCUAUGACAUCUUCCAAGUCACUAUCUAUGUCAUUCUUCCAAGAGUCAUCAGAACUAGAAGCAUAACUCUCAUCGUCAUCCUCACUGUCAACUAUAGGAAUAAGAGCUUUUUUCGAUUCCUAUGUCUUUCUACCAUAUUCUCCUAUGUAGUAGGAAUAAUAUCCAAGUGCAGUAAGUACAAGUUUAUAACAAGAUCUUUUUCAUGAACUUUGAACAUAUCAAGGACUGAUUUGUUACUACUGAUGUCCAUAAAGCCUGUUGUCUUAGGAAUCGUACAUUUCAUAUGCACAAGCAUGUUCAAAUGUUGAGGCAAAUAAUUCAUUGCCUUAUCAGUAACAUCACCGAGAAGGUCAAUAUAUUGGUAGUUUUUGGAUCGACAUUAGGAAUUCUGACAGUGUUUCCCAUGUAAUGGACUAUAAUAUCAUGUGCAAUAAUUUUUUCCAUCCUACAUAUCAGUGUGUUCACAAGAAAAGUUUCAAUCAGUUGCUAUAAGGAUCACAUAUUCUCACAAGUGAUAUAGUAUAACACAUGCAUGCUUAUUCAAAGUCAAACUCAGGUUGCAAAACAGAACCUUCAUAGCAGCUUUCAUGAACAUUCAACUACACCAGCUUUUCAUUUCUAUUAUCACUUUUGUCUACAAACCAACUGUAUACACUACACUUAGAGCUUGUCAUAUGUAUUGCAGCUUUAAGCUACAAAGUUAAGCUGUUAUUAUGUAUUACAAUUUAAAAAAACUCAAUAGUCAUCAAUUUUUUUGAAUCCAUAAAAUAAAGGUCAAGCAUAGUUCAUCAAAUCAGGCAUUCUUUACAGCAUCCAACAUCAACAAUACUUAAUAUAAGAAUCACAUACAAAGGCUCUGGUUGGAUCUUAAACUCGGUCAUCAAGUCCAAUAAAACACAAAAAUACAAGGAAAACAUAAAUAUUAUAGGCAAAUCAUGAAGAACAGUUCAUGACACCUACAUUUUCUCCUGUUACAUGUUGAUCAUAUCAACUAGCAAUGGAAGAUUUUUACCGGUUGUGCAGCUUAGUUUUGGCAAAAUCACUUUCACUCCAACCUAGUGCAUGCAAUUCAUUGAAGUGCCAUAUUUCUCCUCUUCUACAAUAUCCAGAGAGAGAUUUCUAGAAUAAUAGCUUCAACUCGUUCUCCAAGCUACAAGUAACAAUCACAGUUAUAAGUAGUAUUUAAUUCCUCUUCAGUUCUCGGGUAUUUAGACGUCUUAUCAGAACAAAAUGGCGCCAUGCAAUAUGUACGGAACUCAGCAUCUAGGUGGCAAUUGUUUUCCAGACUUUAUACAGUUGCAUGCUUGUUUUUUUUGUCAUUUUUUUCCUUUUAUCAGCUGAAUAAGGUAACAACCGAGCAAAGGGUAUUAUUAGCAGUUGAUGAAUUUUCAUAGUGACUUCUGACCCCAUUAUCACUUGAGGGGUGGUAAGAAAGAUUUUCAAAAUGUGGGAGGAGCUUAGUGAUAUUUCAAGAAACAUCAGGGGAGGUUUCUGAUAAACUUUGGGUAAAAAGUCCCAGUGGCCCUCAAACUAUUAGCCGGAUGAACUUUUGGUCCUCAAACAAUUAAAAAUAAAUUUUUGGCUCUCGAUCUAUCCAAAAUACAAAAUGUUAAAUCUUCUGUCAAAAUCAGCAGUUAAUACUGACGAAAUCUACGACCAUGUGAAACGCACACCGAAAUACGAAGGGCAUUUUUGUUCACAAUGAAUUGUGUUCCACUCAGUAAAAUGGAGCGAAAAAUAAUUUUGACCAAACGGUUUACUUUCACCAGUAUCUCUCCCUCUAUCUGCCAUUAUCGGCUACUACUGCAACUUCCCGACUACUAGCACCGUGGAAAUGAUGAAUGUAAAAAUGGCUGCAUUGAGAGUGAAGCCAAACAAAGCCCACAUGCAAGAAGCACUGCAGAGCAUAGCCACCAAUCCAAAGCCUUAAAGAGGUGGUGGGUCUCUCUCGAUGACGGUAGUCAAAAGCACAAAGGCAGCCACCAACACAAACCCCAAGUUCCAUAUCAAAUCAAGAAUCACGAAGGGCCUUGAGAAUGGACUUUCUUGGCCUACUAGGAGUGAUGGGCCAUGGCCACGGUCAUCCUCAUGCUCCUCCCUCUCCUCAUCAUCAUCAUCGUAAUCAUUGAAGAAAAUCCUGUGGUGGUUCAAGGUGGCGGAGGUCAGUCUGGAGAAUGUGGUGGCUAGAUUGGUGGGGGCCCUUGUGUUAUUGUUGGAGCUGCUGCUGUGGCCAUUUUGAAGAAGAAGCAAGCCUUGCUGUUGGUUCUCCAGGUCCAUUUAUAGGGAUGAUAAAAUUCCGGUGGCUGCAAUCUACUCUUUUGCCCAAUGAGAGAGAGCUAGUGCGGUCGAUGGCGGUAGUGAGUUUUGUUUUGUUUUGAGAGAUACGGUUAUCCGUUCACCAGUAUCCGUUCAGAAGCCCAGGUAUCCGUUCACCAGCUGCACAUCUCCUCGUCAAUCCACUACCAAAAUCUGCAGCCACUAUCCGUGCACACCGCAAAUCUCUGCCCAGGAUUUCUUGACGUCUACGAAGUUAUGACCCUCGACAUUUUCUCACACCUAUACAAUAGGAAAGACGGAUUGCUGGUUUCUCGCAUGCUUCCAGUUCAGCAACUUCUUUGGCUGCAAUGGAGUUUUUCUUUGUUCAAGUUCGGGAAAGAGUCCCAUUUUAUUGAGUGAAACACAGCUCAUUGUGAAUAAAAAUGCCCUUCGUAUUUCAGCGUGCAUCUCACGUGAUCGUAGAUUCCUUCGGUAUUAACUGCUGAUUUUGACAGAAAGUCUAAUAUUUCAUACUUUGGAUAGAUCGGAGGCCAAAAGUUUUCUUUUAAUUGUUUGGGAGUCAAAAGUUCAUUUGAUUAAUAAUUUGAGGGUCACUGGGACUUUUUUGCCCAUAAACUUUUGCCAUUAAACUUUUAGCUAAGAGUUGGUGAAUUUUUGUACACGUAGACGUAGGUGUAUUUAAAAAUCGUGUAGUUUUCCACCAAAGCCACGUGCACGCCAGCUCAGAGGUUACUUACGUUAGCACAAGCGCGUAAGCUCUUUGUACUUGCUACUUAAAACCGGACUUCUGAGUUCUGACGGCAACUAAUGUUAGAUUUUCCUGUACACGGGAGUCAAAAGAUAGGAUGGUCUUCCGUCUAAAACUGCAUCGCCUUCUUCUAUCUCCUUCCAGUUAUCCAAUCUCACUCGCCUUCCACCCAGCACCUCUUUGUCAGCUUGGUUAAGAGCGAAACCGAUUGCUCAAAAAAGAAAGAAAAAGGCCAAACACUCCCUUAUGGAUUCUGGAUUUUUUUAUUCGGAUACGUUGAGUCCAGGGUUUGUAGGCUUGGACUUGUCCAUGGAGAAACCGAUAUCCACCGCGUCGAUUGCAGAUCCGGAUAGGUUGAAUCUAUGGUUUGGGACAUGGAUUUGUCCCUUCCAUUGGCUAAUUGGUUUGUUUGUUAAUCAUGACAUGGAUUGCAGAUCCGAAUAUGUUCAAUCUAUGGAUUGCAGGCCUGGAUUUCUAUGAGGUUAGGCUGGUUAUUUGUUAAUUAUGAUACAAAAACUGCUUAGCAAAAUGUUUAGUCGGUGUUUACUGCAUAGCUCGUAGUUCCCAUGGAUGUCACGUCAGAUCUGGUAUAUCUUGUCACGUUUUUGGAAGAAAUUUUGCUUAUAUAGCAAGAAUUUAUCACGAUGAUGUAGUUUUUGUUGAUAAUCAUAUGACCUUUUGAUCUGGGUUUUUAUCUUACUCCCCUCAGCCAGUGCAAAAUCAUUUUUGGUCGAAAGCAAUGUUUGGAGAAUAUAAUGCGAGUUUUUUUUCUACAUGUUGACGGGAAAAAAUUGUCUUCCAAAAACUUCUUUCACCUGGUUUGGAUCUACUUUAAUUACGUAAAAAAAAAUACGUACUCUUUAUAAUUUUGGUUUCGUUUUUUUAUUUUUUUGGUGUAAUGGAGGCCAACAGGCCAUUUACAAAGUGAUUAAACGUGGGGAUGCAACUCCCCGUAUAUCAUCAUUUAAACGCUUCUUACCAACAUCAGGUGGCCUAUCCAGUACUGUUAGUCCGAGUUCCUGUUGGUGGUUUUUUUUUUUUUGAGGUCUUUGUAAUUAAUUGGAAUGAAAUUCGGGAGGGCUAUUGUGGGCUGUGAACUAGACAGACCAUGGAUCUGAUGUAUGAUUAAACGGAUUAAAGUGAUGAUGCCUUCCUCGUAACUUGUGAGAGUUACCAUUGCAAUGGGCCUGUAGUUAUGGGCCUAGUAUUUUUCCUUUUUGGGAAGAAGGUUAUGUGGUAAAUUUUGCCUCUUGAAUCAGAAUUUAUAUAUUAGUGUUAAAUUUUGCCUCUAGGAUUAGGAUUUAUAUUUCAUUUUGCUUCGGCAUUCCCUAAUAGUUUUUCUCAAGGAAAAAAAAAGUUUUCUUUUCUUUACUGAAAAAAAAAAAAACAAAUGUUUUGAUACAUGUUCACCGAAGAAAUUCCCAAAGUUAUAUUUCUACCGGUUUUGGGUCGUUGACAUGAUAAAGUGGACUGGGCAGGUUGGUUUUAGCGAGUUGCAAUUUCCCUGGGUUGCUUACCUCAGAUCACCUGAAAUUAACCCUAACAUGACUGGAUAUAAAUUGCUCAAACCAUCUCAAACGUAAACCCUAUCUUCUCUCUGGGUGGCGAAGGUAUCCUUCAUCUCCUCAGAUUUCAUUUCUCUGCUAAUUUAUUAUUCUCUCUCUUUUUUUUCCCUUAUUCAGAUAUUGUGAUGAUACAUGUGUAUGUGUACUUCAGAGAACGAGGAGAAGGAAAAUGCAGUAAAGCUCUGGUGGCCAUCAGCUGAUUUGCUUGGUACUGCAUUCUUCGAAACCAGUCAGUUACAGGAAUUUUGCUUUGCAUCUGCGCUUUAUUUUCUCUGUUUACUCUGGGCUUCCCAUGCUAGAUUCUAUAUCUUUUUGGAUCAUUCUCUACUGGAAAUUGGCCCAGUUGGAGGGCUGAAAAAUGAAAAUUGCAUGUCUUAAGCUUCAAGUGGGAAGAGUAAGUAGACAAGAGAUUGUGAUUUAGAUACUUAAGCUGCUGAACUGCUGAAAUUACUGAAUAAGUUUUAAGUUACUAAGUCUUAAAUCUGGAAAAUGGGGGUUGGUGAAUAGAACAGAAAAUUUCCUUCCCUUUCCUCGGUGGGGAAACAAGUAAUGUCAGCUGGUUAAUGAGGGAUUAAUUUGUGAAUUUUGGGAUGGACCACAUUACAUGGAAGGAGGCAGCAAUGGUUGAGUAUGAUCCAGCGUGCUUGUUAUGGCAUUGUUGCCGAUCAAGUUCUUUGUUUUUUUAUUGUUGAUAUGUCACGUGGUAGAAACGACUCAAAAUUUAGCAGGGAGUGGGAUUUAUGGUGUGAUUAAUGUUGCUUCAUAUCUGCCAUUCUCGUAUAUCUUAGCUGUGAUCUUACAGUGUGUGAGAAUGAUGCAUAAAACGUCUCUGUGCUUUGUUUCAACUUUGGCUGUUGCUACUGUUAUUGCUAGUUUAUAAUUCUUUGGGGUUUCUGCAGUGAUUCUUCAUGCAGAUCUCUUGAGUAUUGAUUGUGGGGUUUGGAAUAAUUUUAUGAUUUCAUUUUUUUGGUUCGCUGUGGAAUAUGCCGUCAACAUUGUGCUUGAUUUGUUUAUGCUUUUAGUUUAGUUCAGUGAAUCUUUAGCCGUUGUUUGAAGUUUUCUGGUUGCAUGAAUAUGUUGUUGACUAUAAUCAUGUAGCUUUCAAAUAUUGUUGAUCAUAUUCAGUUUCGUUUUGCUUUCUUUGCUAUUUCUAUAGAAAACCAGAUUCCAUGUGAUGAUUUUGCUACCUUUGUAUCUAUAGUUUGGACUUUUGGUUUGUGAUUUAUGUUCAUAUGUUCUUUUUUGUGGUAUAUAUCAUUGAACUUCAUGGGGAUAUGGUGAAUGCCAAUAAUUUGUUAGAUUUCUUUACCUAAACAAAUGAAUGCAAACUUGUAGUGUGCAAGUAUGACUGAUUUAAUAUGUGCAAUUAAAUUUGAAUCUUUACUUUUGCUUUGCUGUGUAGUUCAAAUUAAAGCUGUAAUAUGUAUGUCAUGCCUCAUUGAAAUUCAGAUGGUUGCCAUUGUUCAAGGUUUUUAUUGAAUGUUCCCUGUUGCUUUUGCUGCAGCUCUUUUGUGGCUGGACCGAUUUUCUGUUGAAACCACCUGCUCGUCUUCAGCAAACAUUUGGUACGUAAAUUUUCUAGGACCUCAGCAAUUAUGCAGACCUGAAUUUUGAGCAUGUGCGCUUCUCCAGUUCUGUUUGUACCAAGCUUCUCAUGACUCUUUAAGAGCUCGUCUAGCCUUGCGAAUUUAAUGUAUUCCUGAUAGUAAUUCACAAAGACAAUUGCAGUAAUACUUAACCAGUUUAGUGCUGCUUAGAACCAUCCCACGUCCAAACCUAAAAGAAAUUUACAAUUUUACAAUUUUCAACACUACUUAUGUAUCUCAAACUACACAAUCCAUCACAGGGUGAUUUGAAAAGCCAUUUUUGGAUUUUCUAUAUUGAAUAUAAAUUGAAUCUUCAAGUCUUUUUGACGCUUAGUGAACCGAAUAUUUUACUGGUGCUAAUAAGCUUGUUUAUGCACGAUUUAUGGAUUUCUUGCUCCUUUUAGCAACCUUGAAAGUUGAAAUUGUCUGUUCUUUGAUUCUAUUUAUGGAUGUUAGCCUGCUAUUUCUUCUUUUAUCCUGGAUUUGGUUGUAAUGAGCUUAGGUUAAUUUUCAUUUAUUUCCUUCCCUUUUGCUUUUGGUGCUUGACGAAUGAUUGUACUUCUUUGUGCCUUACGUUUGGCCUGUGGAGUGAAGUGUUGAUGUGCUGUGCUGUUGAUUAUUAGUGAAUCAAACAAUUUGCUGGUGCAAAUAAGCUUGGUUAUGUGUGAUUUUUGGAUUUCCUGUUAUUUUAGUGUCUUUGGAAAUUGCCCAUUGUGCAUCAAUCAAUGUGGCAAUUCCUCGUGCAUAAUUAAGGGAGCGCUUGAAAGCCAUUCCUUGAUUCUAUUAUUGGACAUUGACCUGCCAUUUCUUCUUUUAUCCCUUGAUGUGGUUGUUUAGUUUAGGUUAAUAUAAUUUAUUUCCAUCCUUUUUGGUCUUGAUACUUGAAGAAUGAUUUGUCUUCUUUCCUGUGUUAGGCUUGGAGUGAAGUUGCUCUAGAUGUUUUUAAUCAGUCUUGCCUUUUGGUAUCUCUUGGCUUUUGCCUUUUGGUGUGCAUAUAUGUAUUUAUAUGCUUUCAAAAGAACGUGGAUUGCCUUUUGCAGUAUGAAUACAUGGGAUUCGGUUAUAACUGCAGAAUUUAUGUGAAUUUGUUACUUUGCUUUAUUAUUGUUAUUUUAUUUAUGGGUCCAAUUCUUCUUCGAACUCCUCCGCCUUUCUGGGAAAUGCCACGUGCUCCUUUGCCUAAGGCCACUGAUGUGGUUGGUCUGCUUACAAAAAUGAAGCUAGAGAUUGUGCAAUCGGGAAAGAUACCUAAGAAUCAGGCAUUGCUAGUGUAUAACCGUAAUUUGAAGACUGAAGAAGAGGCCAGAAAAGAGGAUGAUGCUAAUUUGAAGUUGCUCUAGAUGUUUUUAAUCAGUCUUGCCUUUUGGUAUCUCUUGGCUUUCGCCUUUUGCCUUUUGGUGUGCAUAUAUGUAUUUAUAUGCUUUCAAAAGAACUUGCAUAUAUGUAUUUUGCCAUUUGCAGUAUGAAUACAUGGGAUUCGGUUAUAACUGCAGAAUUUAUGUGAAUUUGUUACUUUGCUUUAUUAUUGUUAUUUUAUUUAUGGGUCCAAUUCUUCUUCGAACUCCUCCGCCUUUCUAGGAAAUGCCACGUGUUCCUUUGCCUAAGGCCACUGACGUGGUUGGUCUGCUUACAAAAAUGAAGCUAGAGAUUGUGCAAUCGGGAAAGAUACCUAAGAAUCAGGCAUUGCUAGUGUAUAACCGUAAUUUGAAGACUGAAGAAGAGGCCAGAAAAGAGGAUGAUGCUAAUUUGAAGGAUGCUGAAGCUGCCAAAUUUGCCGAGGACCCAGUGGAGGAGUUCAAAGCUGCAGCUCGACGGGAAAUUACAAGGGACAAAAUGCUUAAACUUUUGGUAGCGGUUGGAAUCUUGGAGUCGACCUCAAGUGCUGUUGCUGGGGUUCGGGUAGCUAUUCAAAAAGGGCCUGUGGAAGGUCCAGUUGAAUUGACCAACAAACUUCUUGGAUAUUCGAAACGGAAUAGGUCAUUGGAGCAAAGGAAAAGGGUCAAGCAGAUUGUAGCAGUCAGGGAGUACCUCCAGGAACUUGUUAAGAACCAAGCUGCUAAGAAGAGUGGUGGUCCACAUGUUGUUCGGGCCAGGGGCGGCGAAUAAAGUGAACAGAAUGAGAAUGAGAGAGAAAAAGAAAAAGGGAGUGGGAAUGAGAGAGAGUGAGAGUGAGAAUGGUGGUAGCACUAGUGGGAAUGGGACCUGGAAUGAUAGUUUGUUUGGCUCGGAUCUCUGGUAAAGGAAAGAGGAACGAGGAUGCAUCUUUAAUAUUUCAGAUUGUGUUAUUUUUGUUAAAGUUCCCUAAAACCUGGCAAGUACUUUAAUUCCCCUACGUUGAAAUUUCUGUGUUAGCAUGCGACUGGCUUGUUCGGACAGCUCAUGGUAUCCAACUCGUUAAUGUCUCUCUAUACCCUGCAGUUUGCGUUACUGAAGUUAAUAUAUUUUUAUUCACCUCGUUACAAGUCUUAAGUUCAUUUUUGUAGUACUUGUUGGUAUUUGUCUUUGCCUUUUCGGACAGCUUAUGGGUUCCAAUCUGUUAUAGCAUGGAAUCUAAACAGACAAUUCGAGCAUCCAUCACAUCUGUUGGUUGGACCGGCUGCCUUGUAUUGCUACCAGGAAAUAUUUGGGCUGUGGCCCUAGAAGCUGAUUCUUUUAUGACUACACUAGCCAUUACUGCUUGUAAAAAAGAAUGAACUUUCAGCUAUGGUGCUCAUUAAUUAACAUUCUCUGAUUUCGGGGAACAAGGAAGCGCUGUAAAAAGAUCAGCACUAUUAUCUUGUGAGUUGCAAACCAUGCCAAGAUUUUGCAGUGUUUCUCUGCGGAUUAGAAUCAAUGUUGAAAAUUAUUUGACCGUUUAAACUCUUGCAGCGAAAUAAGUGUGGUCCAUUUGUCGCGGCUAAUUACUCAGAAUAUUGUCAAAAAAAAAAAAAGAAAAAUCGGACAUCUAUGAUUUAUGACUCUGACAAUGGUGUGGUCUUGAACUAUUGCUGCCCAAAAGUCAAUUUUUUUUUUCUAAAAAAAGCACUGACAGCCUGGAAGCAGUUGCAAAAAGUCAAAAGAAAAAGGCUGGUCUAGUUACACAAGUCGAUGAAAAAAAAAAUAUGAAGCAAAAAACUCAGGUAGCAGUGAAGAGAAGAUGGAACUCAGAUAGAACUAGAAGAUAGCAAUGAAGGGGUACUAGAAGAUGGAACUCAGAUAGCAGUGAAGAGAAUGGAAGCAGGGACAAUUACCAUCAAGGCUUUGAAGGAAUUCCAGGCAGAAAUGAAGUUCUCUCCAAGGUCCGGCAUCGUCAUCUGGUUUCCCUUCUCGGUUACUCUAUGGAAGGAAAUGAGAGGCUACUUGUUUAUGAAUAUACUAGGUGGUAACACCGCGCUGUGCGCGGUGGUAUACAUGCCCAAUUAACGUUUAGCUAGUAAUAGUGGCGAGAAUGAAUCCUUAGAGCGUAAAAGGUUGAGUUUCAAACACCUGGAAAAUGAUUUAAGAAUCCCUGGUAACACACCAUAUCUAACUGUCUGACUGCUUUUGAGAAGCAGUAUGAUCACAGCUAAACAUUCAAGGAGACCAGAGGGAUGCAAGGUGUCCAAUUGGUUAUGCAAACACUUAGAGCAGCAUUCACCUUGCAUAUGCAACAUCUUUUUAUCAAAUUGUACCAGAAAGCAGAAUGCAUGCAUUAGACCUUCCAAAUAACAUUUUAUACAGCCUGCGAUCCUUACUGCAGCUUCCCAAAGAGCUUUGAUCUUAGAAAAUAAGCCAUUAGCAUAUCAAAGCCCUUAAAUGUUAUGAUCCAAACAAAUUCAGAUAUUAAUUAUAAAAAAGAUUAUUAGAUGCCUCUCCUCUUAUUACAUGGACGAAAUGGAAGAUCAGAAAUCAGAAGGCUGGCAGAUUCCCAUUGCGGAAUUGCAAGAUUUCCCAUGAAACUUCUUACAGAAACUUUUCUUACAAAAAAAAAAAAAGCGAAAACAAAAAUUUGAAGGCUAAAGUAAAAUUGGAAAAAGACUGAAAAAUAAAUUUAAAAAAAUCGCACAACCUGGAAAGUUUAUUCUUUUUCUCCUUCUCGUGGACUUUCAAUCCAUUGUCCUCAAUCUAUGAGAAGCAAAAUGUGAUUGUGAGUAACUGCAAAUUCAAGACAAUAAAGAAAGAAACAAAAACUAAACAAAAAAACAUUAAAGUGCCUUCUUUGUUUUCUUCUUUUUGUUGAUUAAAAAAGAAGAAAGAAAACAUGUAGAUGAAUGAUAGAUCCGGUCUAAGGGGAAUACCAACCAUUUGAUAUGCCUGGUCUGCUAAUUUUGCUUACAAGAACCUUUUUCUCAUCUUCAGGAAAAAGUCAACUUUGCAACUUAAAGAACUCCAAACUUAAAGACUAAAAAAGCUUCCUGAUGCAUGAGAGACAACAGAUUCAGUCUCACAUCUGGGACACAUAACAUAAUUUGAAUGAACAACCACUGACAGCAUAAGUUACUUCUUAAAGUUGAUUAACUUACUGAAUGACUUCAAAUUUUGCUAUUAGUUAUGGGAAGAUGAGUGCUAGUAUAUUUUCUAAUGUCUCAUUAUACACAAAGUGAAGGAGAACGAACAAGAAAUUUUAGGAAGUCCAAACGUAUUUCCAUCAUCACAAAUACAAUAAGCAACGAAAAACUAUAUCAGAAUCAAGCAUGAACAUUUGGAGAUGAGUACAGAUCAUAACUACAUCUGCCUUUUGCCAAAAAAGAAGUCAGUUGAAGGAUAGAAGAUAUCGCACCACAUUGUCCCCAGCUGGCAUAUCUCGGCAUAAUGAAGCAACUAUAUCGGCAUAAUCAUUAAUAUCUAGCCUCAUCAACUUCACUGCAUUCAUAAGAUAAGGUCUUACUUUAGUUGAGCAGUUCUUAAAUACUUUCUCUCCUAACCAAGAGGAAACGGGUGAAGUAAUCUGAGGCAAACAAUAAAGGUAACUGAGUAAUAAUAAAACAAGAACAAGAAUAAAUGAAACAGAGAUCUAUAUAAGGAAGGGUACCUGGUUUUCCUUUUUCACACUAGCUAGAAGCGGCUUUAAAAGACCCAAUGGGAUGUCAUCACUCUCAUCUAAAAGCCAAGUCAUAAUAUCUUCCAUGUAUGAGAAUACAGCUUCUGGGUGGUUGAACCUUGUAUUAGACAUUCAAACACAGAACAACAAUCAGUGCAUGACAAUUGAAUGUGUUGACUUGCAUGAGACAGGUGCAAGAUUAGCAAAUGAAUACCUCUAAUUUGUUUAAUUUGGUAUACUUUCUAAAUUACUCCGUUAGGCAAGUUGCAUUGCAUACCAUGAGUUGAUCACUCGACAACGAAUAAUAAAGGUUUGCCAUGAGUCCAGCAAAAUUUUCAAUUUCAUUGCUGCUAAAUGAGGAGUUCACCAAGUUGAAAGCAGAUCAUAUUUGCAGGAAAGAAGGUUGAACAUAAUGGGAAUGCUAUUACAAGUUCGAAUUCAAGAUAACCUUAAUUGUUAGUAUUAGAGUUAAUUUAAAGAAGCUAACAAAUAUCAAUUACUACAAAAUCCAAAGAGAAAAGGCAGUUAAUCAAAAUGUCUUGACAAUAAAAAUACAUAUUAAAAAUUAGCUGUAACAUCUUAGGCUUACUUAAUGGUACUUAGAAGGAUUUCAAAGAUUUUAGUGACCAACGAGUCGCAGCCUAUGUCCAGCAAGAUGAUGCAGCAUUUGACCUUCACAACGAUUUCAAGAAUGUGCAAAGCUUUAGCAUAACAGCGACAAGAGAAAAGCGACAACUUCUCGAAUGCAGCUAAAGUCAACCGAAAAAUAUCCUGUACAGCAUGCAAAUGAAAAGGCUGAGAACUGGCUAAUUAAAGAAAAUUCCAGAAGUACUAAAAGCAUAUUAAAGAAAAUAAUAGAAGACAAAUGCUUAAAUCCAAACAACACUUCUGCCUCACAGAAAGAGAAAAUUCCACCAUUCAUUUCACAAGCACAAAAUGAGAUUUAUCAUUAAUUUUUUGAAGUCCCAUGAAAUUAUCAUCAAAAGUCAAGCCCCUCUAGGCUGUAAACAAUUCCAGUCAACAACUUAUAUAUUGGAAGGUUUACAAAUUGAGAGACUUAUGACGGACAAAAAAUCUCACUUCUAGUUUUUAAAAAGGGAUUAAAGAUUAAAAAAAAUAAAGCAAGAUCUGCCCCAGUGGAAUGAAUCACUGAUUAUUUGCAAGCAUCAAAUGCAAAGCAUUAUUUAUUGUCUUCAUUCAAAUGAAUUCAUUGAAAUUAACAGAUAUGAAACUUGGCAAACUAAAAUCGAACACCCAAGUAUUAGCAAAUACAUGAAUGUCAAUGGUUUUAAUAAUCAGUGCACAAGUUGAGACUUGAAAAUUUAGAAGAAGUAGAGUCCUAUUUCGUAUCACUUAGAACAUAUUUAACAUAAUACCAAAAGCAUAUAAUUAAAUACAAAUUCCUGAUAAUACAUAGUUGCAGUGGACAAACAAAACACAUACAUAUUGCAAAAGGCCCACAAUUUCUUGAUAACUAUUAAAGAACAAAGAGUAUGACAGAAAGUACCUUAACUAACUGUCAAAUGUUAGAUACCAAAUCAUAAUGUUCGUCAGCUCAGUAUAGAGAACCUGACAAUACAUAUUGAAUUAGGUAAAUUGGAAAAAAGAGAUUAAGAAAAGGUAAAAUCAUCUAUUGAAUAUAUGUGAUAAAUGAGGUGGAAAGAAAAGCCAUCUUAAAAGGUAAUAAUACAUAUUAGUGUAUAACACACAUAUUUUGUUAUAGCUAUGUCCCCUUAAGUUGAAUCACAAUAUCAUUACUUGUACAACCUGUAGGAAAUUACGUAUCACCUUAAUGGUCUCCAAAACUUUUGAGAACUCCAACUUAUCUUCAUUCUUCACUGAGGUCAGGCACAAGACUGAUGUAGUUUUCUUAUGAACAAUCUGCGAGAGAGUGUCAAUUACAUCAGUCCUGGCUACAAUAAAAGCGUCCAAAAAGGCUCCACAAACACGGAAACUUACCGCUCCCAAUCGCGAUUUUCCCUUCACAAUACAAUAGGGAAUUUCCAUCUUCCUGCACAAAGCAGGAAGCCAAACAACCAACUCGAUUGGGUCCACAUCGUGAGCAAUAACAACCAAUUGUGCCUUGUUCUGCAGAAAAUAAUUUCUAUGAGCCACAGCUUGUACUACCAAGAGUGAGACACUACAGAAAACCAACAGAAUUGUAAGAGCCCGGUGCAACCCAAUGAGUACAAACAAAUUCACAAUGAUGCACAAAGAUAUAUCAAAUUUAAGCACAAUAAAGAAAACUUAAUUAAAGAGAAAAGAUAAGAAAUGCAAACCAAAUAUCAAACCAAUAGCCUCUUCAAUUGAUGGCGAUGCUAACCAAGAUGUACAAGUGAAGGCUCACUCCUUCCUCACCCCAAAUACUCUUUGGUUGAACCAAGGAGUUUUACAACUAUUCUAGUUAACCCUCAACAACCUACACUUGAAAGAUCACUCACCCAAUUAAGAACUAUUUUAUACAAAUGAGACAACCUUCACCAAGGUUUUACCACUCCAAGUGAUUGGUUCACCUUCACCAAGGCUUUACUACUCCAAGAGAGUAACCUUCACUUGAGCAACCUCACAACCCAACUUCCCCAACCCCUUAUACAACCAACAAAGAAUCUUUCUACUCAAAAAUCUCACUUGUAAGCUUGUAUUUUGUGUUGGCAAAAGUCUCUAGUCUUCUUGUGCUUUGGGGUUUUUAUAGAAGGUGAGAAAUGGCUCCAAAAGACUCUCCAACGGUCAAAUAUUAAUUGCUGUCAAAACUAGCCGUUGGCCUGUCGGACGUCCGACAGGUGCCUGUCAGACGUCCGAACCACCUGUCGGACGUCCGAACCCUGCGUCCGAACGUAGGCAGAGAGUCAUCAAAUCUUUGCGAAAUUUCUCGGACGUCCGAUGCGAUCGAUGUGCGUCCGAGGCGUGCGUCCGAUCCUUCCGGACGUCCGAUGCUUCCUCACGAGCGUCCGACAGAGUUUCCUUCUUGAUGUUCUUCAUCCUUUCGGACGUCCGAUAGUUUCCUUUUGGCCGUCCGACAUGAGUGACCUGAUUUUGCUUCUUCAUUUGGUUGGUUUUCUUUCCUUGACACCAUUGAACCUGAUUCUAACAAAUUUCUCACAUAAAAACAUUAGACCAAAUCUACAUUUUGGUUUGUUAAUCAUCAAAACCAAGGAUUGAUCGACCAAGGUCAACAAGAAUAUAGAAGAAAAGUACGAUAAAGACCUGCUGAACAAGGCACGUCACAUGCUGUAAACUGUAUUUGACAACGAUUGGCUUCUUAGCAUCAGAAGCUUUCCCUUCAGCCUCAGCUUGAGCUCUCUUGAGAAGACGCUCUUUUUUUGGCUGCCUUGUCCUCAGGCCUGUACUUGAGAAGCAUCUUGAACAGAUUUGUUGCUGCAUAUCAAUGGGAGCAUCAGAAAAUACAUACAUUGGCAAGAGAAAAAAUGAAGCAGCGAAAUGGCAACCCUGAAAGGAAACAGGAUAUCUCCUUGACUGGUAUUAUUAAGAUAGGGACAAAUUUAGAGACUCCCUUGAAUCUACCACAGCAAAUUAUUAGCUUUAACCAAUUUCAUGACAACAGAUAGAGCGACACAUUACGACUCAGUUUCUAGUCAUCCAAGAGAUUAUAGGGGAAGACAAUGUACAGUUACCAUGUACAAAUAUUAUGAUCCGAGCAACCUCAAUUUCUUUCUAUUUACCACAUUUGGCAUAUCCAGUUGGCUAAGAACCAUAAAAGAAUGAUUUUUAAAUUUACGUAAAGAUUUCAUUUCCUAUUCAGUUACAGCAACACCGUUUGCCCUGCUCAACCAUGGGAUCCUAUUCUACGCAAUCAUCAGAGAGAAAGGGGGGGAAUAAGAAUGAGUAAGCAUUUGAAGUAUGAUUACAAGUGCAAUAGGUGAUCAAUAUGCGAGAAAGCACAGAUUUAUGUCAAGAAAAUAACUGGAUUUUUCUUUACAGCAGUCAAAUACCAGACCAGGGUUGUCAAGAUGGUGCAAUCAAGGUGAAGAACUCAGAGUCCCGAUAAAAAUCAUCGUAUAACAUUAAGAAAAAAGGGAAACAUCAUAAUAAAUAAAAAGCGAGUGAGCGAGAGGCGACCAAGAUUUUUGUCGAGUCUUGGAGAACUGGUUGAGCGCCGGAGGGACCUUCAAGCAUUGCCUGAGGAUCCUCUUCUUCCUCUGGAUCCGGACAUUGAGAGGCCAUUUGACGAACCUGGUGAGAUCCUUCUUCGGUGGGAGGGCUCCUCGAAUUACGAGCUGCUUCGGACGCUUCUCGAACAGAGGAUUGGCCACCUUCUCGGUUUUCCUCCUCGCCACUGCAGCUGGAGCCCUCGCACCUCUCUUUGGAGCCUUCAAAACAGAAAAAAUCAUCCAUCAAUGACAACACAAAGAACUCAAAAUGUCAGAGAUAUGUCAAUUUUUUCAAAACCAAACGAAAGAUUGGAAAUUAGAAUGCAGCAUCUGCAUAUAUGUGUAUCAGUAACAAUCAUCAUCGAGAAGACAGAAAUAACUUGGUGGUGAAGAGCCGCCUUACCAUUUCGUUGCCUGAGGGGUUUGGAGAAACGAUGGCGCGACGUCAAGAACCCUAGGGCUUAGUUUAGGAGUUUAGGUCUUGUUAGAAUAGAAUUAGAAUUAGACGUUAUCAGUUAGUCAGUUAGAAGGAAAAACAGAGAAACAAUGAAAGAGGAAAAAUGAAAACAAGUUGGACGAACACUCUCCAACCAAGAUGUGAGACAAAGGAAUCGUCUGCAUUUUUCUGUUUUGGUCCCGUGGGUAAAGGAAGAAAGAAGAAAGGAAAAAAAAAGAAAUGAAAAGGUAGGCUUUCAAAGAAGAAAAAAAUGGAGAAGUGGAGGUGGUUGAUGUAGCCAGAAGGAAGAUGGAGCCGGCAGAGACGAGCUGGCUCAGUGAGCAGAGAGGCACCUGACGGGGCCAACCUAACGGAUGCAGGCAAACAGGACCAAUGAAAGACGGGUCUCACAAGGUGGAAAACGUGUAAGGGCAUAAAAUGAACAGCAAGGUGAGGGUGAAAAUGCGGAGGAAGCACAACAGCAGAGGGGAGGGUGAAAUUGAGGGUAAAACUUGGACUGCAAAGACGAGUGCACAAGGAGGAAAAGCUUGGAGUUGGUGGAGUUGGUACAGAGGAGACUGACGAAGUGGCAGAGAGGUGACCGACGACCUCAGCCAGCCUCCCACUGAGCAGAAAGAAAGAAAAGAAGAAAACAGUGCGGGGGAAAAAAUAAAGAACGCAUCCGCUCCACGCCAGCAUCAAACAAAUGAAUCCCCAGCCGCCACGCGGAGGACGACCACGUCCGACGUGGAUCCCGUGGCUCCGCCCUUAGUCUAUAUGGUUAAUGAAUCAAGGGGCUCUAAGUAGACAUCUCUUUCGGUGGAAGAACCUGAACCUAGAACCUUUAUCAUGGACAAGAAGGUUAUCUAUUACUUUAGACGUUGCAAGAGGUGUGGAAUAUCUACAUAGUUUGGCUCACAGAAGCUUGGCUAAUUGCUUAGAAUAUAUGUAAAAAAAAAAACAUCGCACAAAUGUAUUUCUGACACAUACCAUUUCUCAUUCUAUACCUGUCGUGCUGACUGGGCACGACCGCAGAACGAAUUGUCAGAAACUCUGCAAAAAUGUCAGUGGAUCAGCGGCCUAUAAUUUUUUUUAAAUUAGCCUGUCCCCAGCGGGGCUAAUUGGGCACGGCUGGGGACAAGCGGCAAAAAAAAAAAGGACCAGCAAAUGGGAUGUAUUUGGGGACAUGAAUUUUGUAGCAAAAGUGAAACGAAAGGCCAUACAAAUUCACUGCACUAGCUGCCCUCUUUCUUUCUUUCACUCUUUUCUUUGCUCUUUAUUUCUUGGAAGAGAUAUCUAAACGAUUUUAUUGCACUAAUCCUAAUCAAAGAUUUUGGUUUUAUAACUUAAUGAUUUUGCUGUGGAGUCUAAUAACAUUUAAGUUAGGAAGAUCAAAAUUUCAAAGUGGAAAUGGAAGAUUAUUAUGGCUAUGCUUGGAUUAGCUAUUUUUAGGGUUGUUUUUCAAAAACAACACUGUAGCAUUUCGUUUUUCAAAUACAAGUCCGUUUAAAUUAGUUAUUUUUGGAAUUAUUUUUCAAAAACUAUAUUCCAAACUUCUACUAUAGAUGUUUUAUGGAUUAUUUUUUGAUGUAUUUUUAAAACAUAUUUUCGAGUAUUUUUAUAAUUUAUAAUUUUUAUAUUUUUAUAACAAUAUACAUUUAUACAUUUAUAAUAUAUUUAUAAAUAUUUAUAAAUAUUUAUAAAUAAAUUUAUUUAUAUAAAAAUAUAUAAAUGUGUUAUAUUAUAUAUAAUACAUAAUAUAAAUAUAUUUAUAAAUGUAUAAACAGGGUGCAAACGAAUCGAGUUGCUUGCGAGCAGUUCGGUCAACGCUCGACUCGAGCUCAGUCAAUAUCGAGUUCGAGCCAGCUUGUUUAUAAUACGAGUCGAGUUCGAGCCUCGCGAGCUCGCGAGCCGUGUAAAAUUACAUAAAUACCCCUACUUAUUUAACUAAUUACUAAACUAGAAACUAGAUACAAUUUCUCAAAGGACUAAGGACCAAGACAGCGGACACCCCUAACACAAACACGCCUCUUUCUUCUUCCCACUCGGCUGUUCCGCUGUCGGCAACUCGGCAUUCCUCUUUCCCCAAAUCAAAAGCAAACCCUAGCCGCCGCUACCACUGUUUUCACCACUCACCAGUUGGCCACUUCUGCCACCACCACUGCCGUCCUUCAAUUGAAGAGCCCUUUCUCUCCGAGUCCCAGUUUGUUGGCCAACGUUAGACUCAGCUACGGUAGACAUUUCAUCAGCUCCAUUGGUGGAGGGCCUCGCGAACAGGUAAUCCAUCACUCUUAUUCCCUUAUUCUCUGUUUUUGUUGCUGUAUAAUGAUGCUUGGUGGUAGAAUAAGUGAUUGUUUCCUGUCAUUAAAGCCAGAUCGACUUCUUCACCUCGUUCCUGUUGUAGAAUGUAUAGAUGUAAAAUUAUUACUAUUAAUUUCCUCUUUCCUGUUAAUGGCGACGGAGCUGGAGCUCUCGUUAGACUUAGAUCGCCUCUUCCUUCCCAUUUCCGUCCCCAAUUUCAAUCAAUUAGCCGAAAAAAAAAAUUUGUCUCUUCUCAGGUAUUCGGUGAAUUAAGAUUGUACUGAUAUUGAUUGGAAGUUGGAACAAGCGUUUUUGUCUAUGUAUUUUUUUCUCCUUAUUUUUUUUUUUUUUUUUGAGUUUGGAUUUAGGACGGUUUUUGAAGAUUGGUAAGAACGUUGGGUUUCUUUUUUUAACUUCUUACAUACAUUUUCAUGGAAUAUACCUUCUGUUUGAUUGAAAUAAUUUUGGUUUGUAGUUUUUGAUUGUUCACUUUUUAUUUUCUCAUUCUGGGGUAAUUUUUAGCUUGUCCUGUUAGAAAAUGCAAGCUGGAUUGCGUUUAGAAAUUAUGUGCUUAGUGAACUUAAUCAAUGUUAAAGUAUAAAUGGCCUUUUCGGCUGCUGGUGAUAGGAGAAAGUAUAAAUGUUAAAGAUAUGACAGAUUUGUGCACUAAGAGUAAAUGGAAUGACUUUGAUGAUAUUUAGUCAAGGGUAAGAGUAAAUAUGCAAAACUCAACUAAGAAGGUAAUUAAACAUAAUCUUUGAUAUGAUUUUUUUUAUUUUACAUAAUCUUGGCUUAUGUUACGAUUGGAUUUGCGUUGCACUACAUUUAAUAUUCCAAACCUGGGAAAACAGGAGUUUAUAGACAUUAGGAAAAGAGUUUACUAGCUGCAAUUUGGGUUUUUUUGCUGUUUAUGUUUUAGGCUCAGUUUUGUAUGUUUCAGGAUGUUCCUUUUGCUUAGAAGUUGUUUCAUACUUUCUCAACAGAGUUAAUCGUGUGGAGCACUUUGUAUGCUUCAGGAUGUUCCUUUUUCUUUCAUUUCUGUUAUAUUUCUGUUACUAGAUGGGCUGUUAUUGAAAAAAAAAUUGAUCUCAUUUAUUGGACAAUGAAAAACUUGUUUGUUGUUACUUUUAAUUCAUGUUUGGAAUUGUUAUAUUCAAGUUUGCAAGGCAUUGAAUAGGUUAAAACGUGCUAUUGGAGUCGGGUUAAAUAAAGCUGGUUAUGUUUAGUGAUAGAAAUUUUUGAGCUGAAUUCGAGCCAUUUCGAGCUCUUGUCGAGCCUUAUCGAGUCGAACUCGAGCCAGUUUCUUACUUAGUCGAGUCGAGCUCGAGCUCAAUUUUCUCGAGCUCGAGUUCGAACUCGAAUAUACAGUAGUCGAGUCUGGCUCGAUAAGUUCAAUGUUUGACUCGGUUCGGCUCGUUUGCACCCCUAUGUAUAAAUUAUAAAUGAAUAUUAUAUAAAUGUAUAAAUUAUAAUUUAUAGUUUAUAAUUUUUAUGUUUUUAUACAUUUAUGCAUUUAUAAUAAAUUUAUAAAUAAAUAUAUUUAUAAAUUUAUAAAUGUAUAAAUGUAUAUUAUUAUAAAUGUGUAUAAAUUAUAAAUGAAUAUUAUAUAAAUGUAUAAAUUAUAGAUUAUAAAUUUUAUAUUUUUAUAUUUAUAUACAUUUAUGCAUUUAUAAUACAUUUAUAAAUAUUUAUAAAUAAAUAUAUUUAUUUAUAAUACAUAUAAAUAUAUAUAUAUAUAAUAAAUAUAUUAUAUAUGAUACAUAAUAUAAAUAUAUUUAUAAAUGUAUAAAUGUGUAUAAAUUAUAAAUGAAUAUUAUAUAAAUGUAUAAAUUAAUAAAUUAUAAAUAUAUGUUAAUAUUAUGUAUAAAUGUAUUAAUAUAUUAAAUAUAAAUGUAUAAUUAAUAUUAUGUAUAUUAAUAUAAAUGUAUAAAUAUAUUAUAAAUGUAUUAUAUUAUAUAUAAUACAUAAUAUAAAAGUAUAUUAUAAAUAUACAUAAAUAUAUAUAUUAUGUAUAAAUGUACAUUUAUAUAAAUGUAUAAUAUAUAUAAUAUAUAUUAUGUAUAUAUCAAAUAUAUAUAAUAUAUAAUAUUUUUAUACAUGUAUAAUUACAUAUUAUUAUAUAUCAUUUAUAUAAUUUAUAAUAUAUAAUAUUUAUAUAAAUAUAUAAAAAUAUAUUUUAUCCAAUAUAUAUUUAUUUAUAAAAUAAAAUAUUUAUAAUAUGUAUAAAUAAAUAUAUUUAAAUUAAUAUUAUAUAUAUAUAUAUAUAUCCUAUACAUAAUUGAAAUAUAAAAAUUGAAAUAAACAUAUUAAAUAUUUAUUUGGAGUUGUUUUUGAUAUAUUGUUUGGAUAUGGUGUUUUUGGAGUUGUUUUUGAAAUACACAUUUAUUGUAGCAUUUGGAAUGUGAAAAACAGUUUUUCAAAAACAGUCCCAAAAACAAGCUAUCCAAAUAGACCCUAUAUUUUUCAAACUGCAAAUUAGUAUAAUUCUAUGUACAAUGAAAAUUCAAUGCUUGCUCAAAUUUGUUGACGAACAACAUGUGUAAGCUAAUAUAUGAAUAUUUAUAUGUAAAUUAAAUGCAGUUUAUAUGCGACAAAAUUCAUGAAUAAGAAUCCAUAUAUGUAAAAUUAAUAUACAUUUUUAAAAUUUUUGCUAGUAAUUAGAUACAUUUGUGACUAACUGGUAUUCAAAGCUAAAUUUUAAUCACUGAAAUGUAUGUAAAUGUAUAAGGAAUCACACAAAAACGCAGGAUGACAAUUCUUAAUCAAGGAAUCCCAUUCCAUUUAGAGUUUCAGAUAGCUAACAGAAUUUAGGGAUUAGACAAUGAUGAGGAAAAAAGGAAAAAAAGCAGCCAACGAACAUGAAACCUUGGCAAAAGCAGAAACCAUGUCUGGUACCAAGCAUUUUCACAAGUUAAGAACAGAAGACUGAUUAUACAACAAAAAACAAAGCCAACGAAAGUUAAACUAAACCACCUAUGCACCAAUCCCUUCAGUUUCUUCUCCACUACUUCCUUCAGACUCUUCUUCCCUGCCGAGGAUUUGAGCGGAACCUUUUUUAAGUUUUAAUAUCAAAGCCUCGAUAAUUUGCAGCUCGGAAUCCAUAUCAAAGUCAGCUAUGUUUGAAUCCACCUCAUAUCCGCCGAACAGAUUCUUUACGAGAGCCUUUCCUUCGUCGGUUUCAAGUUUGAUUCCAGCUAAUAACCCACCGUAUUCUAAAAUUGACAAUAAAAACAGUAAAUCAGAAAACUUUUUUGUCCUGGUUUCAUCUGGGUCUUCGAACAAGUCUUUGAAAGAGUACGGAAUGUGCUCGGCCAGAUGUAGUUUUUGAAACGUGGAUGGAUGAACCACGAUUUUCACGGAACCAGGCUCAGUCCUCCUAUUUGGGAGGACUUUAGUCUCCAUUUGAAUGAGACACUUCGCCACCAAAGAUCUGCCCAGUUCUUCAAGUGUGACAGAUUUUUUCAGAAGCUUCGUGUACCAGGCCGCUAAUCCAAGAAUUCGGGCUCUCAUGGUGUGAUUAUAAAGAUUUUAGGCUGUAAGCAGGAACUAAUUGACAGGUUAGUGUAUUGCGUUGCCACUUAUUGAUCGAGCUAUACAGUAACGAAAAACAUCAAUGUACUAGUUUGAUCUUAGUCUGUAUGAGAAUGCUAGGUACUCAGUGUGAAUUACUGCUUAAGGCUGACAACACGCAGGACAUCGAAAUUAGUUCCACCGACUUACUAAAGUUGAUAAAGUAGUCAAAGCAAAGGCAGAAAAUGCGACCUACUAAAGUUGAUGAAGUAGUCAAAGCAAAGGCAGAAAAUGCAAGAAGAAAAUCCUGUAAUUCCAUCCAAUUUCCAAAAAUCAUACUCAAUAAAUUUAGAUAACUAGUUCAUGCUUUAAAAUGAGAUUUAGAAAUGUUAUGAGCCCAAAAAAAGCAACAAUAAGUAACAUUACCAUACAUGUCAAACAGACAUUAAUAAGUAACUCACAAUUCAGUUCAAAACCAUGCUACUGCACUUUAAAAAUAAAAUAAGAUAUUGGUGUAUCCUUUCAUCCAAGAAGGUAUAAAAAAGAAAAUUUCUACAAGACAUGACGACAGCUCCGUCAUAGUAUUUCCCGGACCUCCUUUAAAUCUAAUUGGUAUCCUAAUCAUCUAACUGAAAAUUUCAACUACGAACGAGUAUAUUAUGCAAGAAAAGUAAGGGGAAAAAGGGUAUCCAGUACGCUUUCCUAAGAUAUCAUCUAAUAAUCUCUUCAACUAUGAUUAGUAAUUAGCCUAAUCAAAUUUGUGAUUUUUGGUCAAGUCAAUCUGCCCAACAAGUGGUAAGGAACAACAAACCGAACCAAAAAACUUUUUCCAAUUCCCUUGAACCAUCAGUGACUUAGAUUGAUAGAUUUUCUAGAUUUCUAGACACUAGACAUUAUACUCAAACUCAAGUUGAUAGAACGCUCAAGCAUAGAAAGUAGAAACCAAUCAGGAAAACAACGAAAAAAAAAUAAAAACAAGGCUAUUCAAAUCGAUUAUCGAAAAGACUAGUAGGUAAAAUUUGCGUUUCAGACCGGCAAACCUAGAGAGACGAAGAGUGAAGACUUAGACACCAAGAUCUCUGCUGAAACGCCUCCACUCGAGUCCAGUUGUCUCCCGGACUUCGCGAUGGCACAAUUCCACCGCUGCCGUCUCGAAUAACACCCUCUGAGCAACUCAGACUGAGCUUGCUAGAAGGCCGGUUACGGGUGAUUUGUUUCGGGCCGAACGUAAAUCCUGAGCAUUGAUCAAGGCCCAUUACGUGUAAUUUAUCUGGGCCCAAAAAGAUAUUUAAUAGUUCUCACCCAACCAAAAAUAAAUGUACAUUUCCAAACAAAAACUAAAAUUUUCCCGUGCCUUAGCAGAGUCUCUUUUCUCAUUUAUUGUGAAUUUAUAUAAAUAUGAAUAAUUUAAAUAAGAAAAUUAAUAACAAUCCUACAUAUUCAUUCAUAUUAACUUUAAAAAAUUAAUGUAUUCUAAAUGUUCAAUUAUUUAUUAAUUUUUAAAAAUUUGUUUGCACACUUUCACUAUAAUAUAAUAGUAUAUAUCAAACAAUGUAUCACAUAUCAAAAAUUUGAUAGACAUUCAUUUUUUAUAAAUAUUCUUUUAGAUAAUUUAAAUUUUUAAGAUGACCAUAAAUCUAGAACUAUAUAUUCACAUUUAAUUAAUAACGGAGAAAUAAGGGAAAAGAAUAAUAAAAUUUGAAAUUUUUCAGUUCAAAAUCAUAAGAAUCACAGCAAACAUUAAAUUAAAAGAGAUGAUUAGUCUAUUUUACUGAAUUUUAUAAUCAUUAGUAUAGUUUUAUUACUUAUUUGUAUUGUCUAAUUUAUUAAAUGUGAACUUUUUAGGUGGUUAAAUGUGUUUAUUAACUAUUCCUAAGUCUUAAUUGUUUUUAUUCUUUUACUAAUACGACUUAUAUACAUGCAUUAAAGGGUAUUUAUGGAAUAAAAGUUUUAUCUCUUUUUUUAAAAUACUUUUUAAAAGGUACUUUUUUCAUUUUAGCAUUUUAAAGGAUGCUAGAUUUUUUCAUGCUUGGUAUUCUAAAUUCUCUUACCGUCACUCCUACAUGGCGUGACAGCCAGAAAGAUUUUUUUUUUUUUAAAUUCUGAAUUCUCUGGCCAUUGCUCCUAUAUGGCGCAAGGCCAGAAAGCUUUAAAAAAAAAAAAAAAAUUGCCCAUCGUGCGUCACGAUGGGCAUAUAUUGAUACCAAGCAGCCAAGCCACCAUAUUUGACCGAUUUUUUUGUCAUCUAAUAAUAUUCUGAUCAAUUGGCCCUGCGGCUUAUAAAGUCCGUCCUCUUUUCUGCUAAAUUUCUUACAUACAGUUGUGUUUCUGGUUAUCAGAAGUAAACCUGGUCUUAGUGCAGGAAAGAUUCAUACUAAUGUUAAGCAAUUUGUAGUUAUUGGCACUAGAUUGACUUUUUUUGCACAUUAUCUAACAAUUUAUCACCUUUAAUUUUGCUCACUUAACCUCCUAUAGGACAAAAUUACCCUUCUAUUAUUUUGAUUAUUCAUUUAUCUUUUUUCCUCUCUUUUAUUUCUUUUUCUCUUUCUUCUUUCUUCUCUCUUUCAUCCUUCCUAGUAGAAAACUCCAUCUCAACGAAAAUUUUUAUCUUGAAUUUAUAAUUGCAUUUUUUGGUGAAAGUUUAAAAGGCAUCAAAACUAAUUUUUAUUUUUUGUAUGAUGCCACAUGUCACAAAUUUCAAUUGAUGAUUAUUAAUCAGGUCACAAUUUCAUCUUAUGAUAUUUUCUUGAGAAUAAAAUGAGAAACUAAAAAGAAAAGAGGAAAAACCAAAAUUGAAAGAAUUUGAAAAAAAAUUGUAUUUUAGGAAAGUGGUUUGAAUAUUUUGUAAUCAUUUAAGGAGAAAAUAGAUCUCUGCAAUUUCUUUUUUUAAAUUUCAAUCAUUAAGAUGAAGAUUUUUUGUGAGAAAGUGAAAGAAUUAAAAAAAGAAAAAAGAGGCAAAGAAAAUAAAGGAGCACAAAAGGGGAAAGGAAAAAAAAUAAAAGAGAAAAAUAAGAGUUUAGAAUAGUAGAGGGAUAAUUUUGUUCAAUAGGGGAUAAAGUGAGACAAAAAAAUGGUUAGGAGGUAAAGUGAGAAAUAAGGUAUACUUUAGGGGGAUUAAUUGUGAUUAAUCCAAAUUUAAAUUAAAAAAAAAAUAUUUAUAAAUAUCAAAAUUUUGAUAUGAAAUACAUUGUUUGAUAUAUACUAUCAUAUUAUAGUGAAAGUAUGCGAAUUUUUUUUUUAAAAUUAAUAAAUAAUUGAAUAUUUAGAAUACAUUAAAUUUUAAAAUUAAUAUGAAUGAAUAUAUAGGAUUGUUGUUAUUUUUUAUAUUUAAAUUAUUUAUAUUUAUAUAAAUUUAUAAUAAAUGAGAAAAUAGACUAUGUUAAGGCACAAACCAAAUUUUAGUUUUUAUUUUGAAAAGUACAUUUCUUUUUGGUUCAGCUCGAGAAGUAUUAAAUGGUAGUAUCUUUUUGGCGCUUAAAUAUAUUACAGGUAAUGGGCCUUGGUCAAUGCUAAGGCUCUAAGUUGGGCCCAAAACAAAUCACCUGUAACGGGCCUUUUAGCAAGCUCAGAGUGCAUUAUAUUAGACGGCAGCGGCAGAAUUGUGCCAUCGCGAAGUCGGGGACAACUUGACACGAGUGGAGGCAUUUCAGCAGAGAUCUUGGCGUGUAACUUCUUCCCUCUUCGUCUCUUUAGUUUUGCCAGUCUGAAACCCACAUAUUACCUAUUAGUGUUUUCGAUAAUCGAUUUGAAUAGCUUUUUUUUUUUUGGUUGUUUUCCUGAUUGGUUUCUGUGCUUGAGGGUUCUAUCAACUUGAGUUUGAGUGUAAUGUCUAGUGUCUAGAAAUUUAGAAAAUCUAUCAAUCUAAGUCACUGAUGGUUCAAGGGAAUUGGGAAAAAGGUACAAACUAGAAAAACCUUUAUUUUUGGUUCGGUUUGUUGUUCCUUACCACUUGUUGAGCAGAUUGACUUGGCCAAAAGUCACAAAUUUGGUUAGGCUAAUUACUGAUCAUCGAUGAAAAGAUUAUUGGAUGAUAUCUUAGAAAAGCGUACUUGAUAUCCUUUUUCCUCUUACUUUUCUUGUUUGAUAUGCUUGUAGUUGUAAUUUUCAGUUAGAUGAUUAGAAUACCAAUUUGAUUUAAAGGAGGUCUGGGAAAUUCUAAGAUGGCACUGUCAUGUCUUGUAGAAAUUUUUUUUUUCAAACCUUCUUGGAUGAAAGGGUACACCAAUAUCUUAUCUUAUUUUUAAAGUGCAUUAGCAUGGUUUUGAACUGAAUUGUGAGUUACUUAUUGAUGUCUGUUUGACAUGUAUGGUAAUGUUACUUAUUGUUGCAUUUUGGGCUCAUGACAUUUCUGAAUCUCAUAUUAAAGCACGAACUAGUUAUCCAAAUUUAUGGAGUAGGGUUUUUGAAAAUUGGAUGGAAUUACAGGAUUUUCUUCUUGCAUUUUCUGCCUUUGCUUUUACUACUACAUCAACUUUAGUAGUUCUGUGGAACUAAUUUCGAUGUCCCGCGUGUUGUCAGCCUUGAGCAGUAAUUCCCACCGAGUACCUAGCAUUCUCAUACAGACUAAGAUCAAGCUAGUACAUUGAUGUUUUUCAUUACUGUAUAGCUUGAUCAAUGAGUGGCAACGCAAUAAACUCUAACCUGUCAAUUAGUUCCUGCUUAUAAAUUCCGUCCUAUUUUCUGCUAAAUUUCUUACAUACAGUUGUGUUUCUGGUUAUCAGAAGUAAACCUGCUCUCAGUGCUGAAGAUUCAUACUAAUGUUAAGCAAUUUGUAGUUAUUGGCAGUAGAUUGACUUUUGUUGCACAUUAUCUGACAAUUUAUCAUCGUUUCCAUCCUGUAUAUUGGAAACCAUCAUUCAUUCAUUCAUUUGAAAAUUUCUUCAUCCUGCAAUAGAGCAAUAAGUUUGAAAAUUUUUUCCUUUACCUGAAUUCAAUUUUCCAUUUUAUGUUGUCCAUGUUUUAUCUUUUUUGUGGGUAACAGAGUGAGUUGGAGCACAUGGCAACAAUUUAACUCUUUCUUUUUUCGUGAAUACUGCCUCCGAAGCCUAUGAUACCUGAUUUACUGGUCAUUUUAUGUUUAUGAAGAUUAGUCGUAUUUAUGCAACAUAAAGAAUGCCUGAUGAAAUGAAAAUCUCUUAGCCAAGUUCAUGCUGCU
rnacentral:lncRNA from 1 species